GAGCUCCCCACACCAUCGCAAAGUCCCUUUUUUAUUACAGACACAUGUAACGAGUUGUCAUAGCUUGAGAUUGUCGAUAUAUGACUGCUGGAUUGUGACCAGGCCAUCUCCUUACAUGUCUUGCUGCACCAGCAUGAGCAGUGAUCCCUUCUGUUCAAAAUUUUCAGGCAACAUCGCAAUGAGGCAAAACAUUGUGCCGAAUCUGCCGUACAAAGAGUGUUCAAAGCUUCACGCUACUAACGGACGAAUACAUAAGCAUUCAUUUACCUUGAAAGAAUAAAGGAAUUCUAUAGCUUCAUACAAAUUCGCCUAUCAGCAAUUCUCCCUGGUCGUUCAAAAGUUGCUUGACGAUUCUACCAUCUCCAUACUAUGAAGGAGCGCUUCUUCAUUUCUUCAUUUUAUCGGAACCUUAACGUAUCCUUCCAACACAAUGUCCAUGGACAACGGUAAUGAGGUCGGCGCCUACGAGUUUGACCGGAACGCCCUGGACAACAUCGCCCGUCGGCGACAUGAUCGCCCACGCAAGAAAUACAGCCAGCAUCGUCCAGUGGAUGAGUUUGGAGUACAUAAGUUUGCCAGGGCAAACAAUCUAAGUCAAUUUACCGCGUGCCAAUUGGAGGAUGCCUUGUCCAAGGAAAGGUGCCAUAUGGACGACCUUGUGUUAGUUUAGUUGUUGCAUGUAAGCUUGUGAGUUGGUGGCCUGGUUCAUGCUUAUGGGCGACAAUUGAAAUGCCGGGACAAUGACUUAUUAGGGACAUUGACACGGCAUUUCACGCCCUCAAAGCGGGAACAAACGCUAAAACUAAAUACAUACAUAGUUCUAAAUCUUCUACUAAAAUUUUCCUGCAGCGUUAGAGGCCUUUAAAUAAUAUUGGCGAACGCUGCUUCCCGCGCUACNNNNNNNNNNNNNNNNNNNNNNNNNNNNNNNNNNNNNNNNNNNNNNNNNNNNNNNNNNNNNNNNNNNNNNNNNNNNNNNNNNNNNNNNNNNNNNNNNNNNNNNNNNNNNNNNNNNNNNNNNNNNNNNNNNNNNNNNNNNNNNNNNNNNNNNNNNNNNNNNNNNNNNNNNNNNNNNNNNNNNNNNNNNNNNNNNNNNNNNNNNNNNNNNNNNNNNNNNNNNNNNNUAUGGGCCCCAAACGGUCGGUACGGCAUGUUUAUGCCAUAGGGAAGGGGAUGAACGAAUAGAGAUAUACUUUCUGUUUCUUGGCUGCAGCAAGUGUUGUCCUGGGCGCAACGUUGAUGGCCUGAUGCCGACGCGACCUCCUUUACGACAAUGCUAGGCAAACGCAGCGGAUGUUCAUGAAUUACUUAAGUGUUCAUAUUACACGUCACAGCUUCAACGGCACUGUACUGGGCGGAUGUAAGACGUGCGUUGGUGGACGCGAUGGCCUUACGAAGGGGGAGAAAGACGCUUAGGAGAUGCUUGGAUUGUUAUGUACAAGUCACAGACGGGGACGUUUAACUCUAUGAAUGCUGAGUUUUAGCUACUAGUCGGGUUUUUUGAACUUCGCUGUUGUUGGUUCCGCCCGUACAGGAAAAGUGUCUUCUGAUACGGCGGUCACAGCAGGUAGUAUCCACGUCGACUUGUAUGCAAACCAAAUACAACGAAACCAGGGGAUGAUAUGACAGUUUUGGAAUGCUUGUUUCUUGGCCGCAAGCAGCAGCAUACUUAAAUCGCGUUGGGCCAUUUGCCCAGGCUGCCGCAAGGACGACAAGUCAGGCUAAUGCAGCUGAUGUCCAUGACGGGUUCAUUACGUGCUGAAUAUGGAAGAUUGCUACAAAGACUCUGGCCCUGACGAACGUAAAAUGUGAUGUUCGUAAGGAAGAAAACAGACGCAUAUCCAAGGCAUGGAGCUGUUUGUAGGGAAACCGUAAAUGAAGGUUUAAGGAACUGAACGAUGAAUUCUGCCGGUGUGGUCGGUUCUGGAUCUCUUAUGUUGCUCGUCACGCUCGUACGGAAAAUGUACAUUUGUUGCAGGAGGGAGUCUGUGUGUCAAGUCGUAGUCAAACCUUUUUCAAAGGGGAUGAGCACACACACAGCUUGCAUUCCAUGUUCACUAACGUCAGCCCACAGUAAGCUACUGGGCUAGACUUGGAGGGUCCGACCGGGGCAACUCGUUGCUGUGGACUUGUUUAGGCAAGUCAAGUAGGGCUAUGGAAUGCUAGGACAAUGUUAUUAUAUUUGUGUUAUAGGCUUGGGUAGGAAUUCUUAAGCAAUACGUUGAGGGGCUUUUCCGCCGGCGGGAGGACGACAAUCCCAUGCAAACAGGACGGAUGUUCCGAAUGUUGCUUACAUUCAUGUUGUCGAAGCUCGCGACGACGGCUCUGGACAGGACGGAUGUCAAGUGUGCGUUGGUGGACGUGAUGGCAACGUAGUGAAGGACAUGGACGCGCAUGCACAGGCCAUGGAAUGGUAUGUCUAAAUCAUGGAUGGCGACGUUCAACUCUCAGAAUGGUGAUUUCUGCCUUUGGGUUCAAUUCUGAACCUGGAAUGCUGCUGGCUCUGCCCGUACCGGAAAAGUGCUUUCCGGUACGGCGGUGUCAGGAGGUGGUAUCUACGUCGUCUUAGGGGCAACCCUAAGACUAAGGGGAUGAACGAAUAGAGAUAUACUUUCUGUUUCUUGGCUGCAGCAAGUGUUGUCCUGGGCGCAACGUUGAUGGCCUGAUGCCGACGCGACCUCCUUUACGACAAUGCUAGGCAAACGCAGCGGAUGUUCAUGAAUUACUUAAGCGUUCAUAUUACACGUCACAGCUUCAACGGCACUGUACUGGGCGGAUGUAAGACGUGCAUUGGUGGACGCGAUGGCCUUACGAAGGGGGAGAAAGACGCUUAGGAGAUGCUUGGAUUGUUAUGUACAAGUCACAGACGGGGACGUUUAACUCUAUGAAUGCUGAGUUUUAGCUACUAGUCGGGUUUUUUGAACUUCGCUGUUGUUGGUUCCGCCCGUACAGGAAAAGUGUCUUCUGAUACGGCGGUCACAGCAGGUAGUAUCCACGUCGACUUGUAUGCAAACCAAAUACAACGAAACCAGGGGAUGAUAUGACAGUUUUGGAAUGCUUGUUUCUUGGCCGCAAGCAGCAGCAUACUUAAAUCGCGUUGGGCCAUUUGCCCAGGCUGCCGCAAGGACGACAAGCCAGGCUAAUGCAGCUGGUGUCCAUGAAGGGUUCAUUGCGUGCUGAAUAUGAAAGAUUGCUACAAAGACUCUGGCCCUGACGGAUGUGCAUUGUAAGGAAGGAAACGGAUGAAGAGUUAGCUCCGCGGCGCAUGGAACGCUAAGUAAGGAUGAUGGACUGUAAGCGUUAAUAUUCGGAGCAGGGAUUUCUGUCUUUUCGCUCGGUUCUGAAAGUCUAACGUCGAUUGCGCAUCCCGUUUGUUCGGGGAACGUACUUAGAUCUGAUACGGCUCACCCGAUUAGCAAUAAUGCUUUCUAUGCUUGCAUAACCAUUUUGCAAACACAGACCAUUAUGCCAAAUCUUUGCUGUAAUGCCUCUGGCCCAGAUGACAUUGCAUGUGCAACAUGUCAAAUAAACUCUGCUGCCCUUCUGCAGUGCACUUCAAUCCUAUAUUUGUACAUAAUAUUCGUGUAAUAUGAAAGGUGACUUCUUGCCAGCAGGGUAAUGAUCGGAGACCUACUUAUGGCAUCCCAUGGAUUAUGCGGCAUGUAUCCGCAUCAUUUGUUCUAUGUAAUAGAAUUUGUUUAAAAGAAAAAUCUCGAAGAGCUAUCCUGUUGGUAUUUCAUGGCUGGACUUCCAGUGCUCCAUCCGUACCCAGUGCGGGGCCCGCCCGUCGCCUGCGUAGCUUCCCUACCACAUAGACUUGCCCGGUUAUCGGGCAAUUUAGGUCGUUAACGGGGUAUGCGGAGACCGGUUACCAGGUGGAUGGUUACCGGGGGUCGUUAAUCGGGGUGGUUACGAUUGGGUUACCGGGUUGAUCGUUACUGGGCAUUAACCGGGACUGGUUACCGGUUUGAAGGCUAUCGUUUUUCGCAUUAAUUUACAGCAGCAAGGACAGCCCUCUAUGGCCGGUACUCAGCUCAGUGUCUUUUUUGAAAGUAAUAUAUUCCUUAAAAGUAAUAAACAGGCCAUUUUGGCGUUUGGAAAAAAGGAAUGAAGUGAGGCCGAUCCUCAAAGCCCUCAGCACUCCUCCUCUGGCGAUCUAAGUGAUGCCCAGCACUGUGCUGCGUAAGCAUGAUGCUGCGUUUGCGGCGGUCCUGGAUGAUGUCCAUGCCGAGGUAGUAGCGCGCCUCUCCAAGGUCUCGUACUGCGAAGCAACCAGCUAUGGCCGGCUUGGCGGCCUCGACCAAUUGCAGGUUGUGUGCCGCCACCAGCAUGUCGUCAACGUGCACGAGCACAUAAAUUGAGCCGUCGGACCCGCGCUUGACGAAUAGUGCGGGGUCGGACAUAGACGGCUCAUAGCCUAGCUUGCCCAACUCCGCCGCCAGUUUCUCGUACCAGCAGCAUGGGGCUUGCUUGAGGCCGUAGACGGACUUUAACAGCUGGCACGCCUGCGUCGGGUCGCCGUUGCUGUAACCUGGUGGCUGUCGCAUCCACAGCUCCUCUGCUAGGUCGCCUUUUAAGAAAGCCGUUUUGACGUCCAUCUGAUGGACCGUCAUACCCCUGGCCGCUGCCACAGCUAGAAGUGCCCGCAGGGAGGCUGCACGCGUGGUGGGCGCAAACAGCUCUCCGUAGUCUAUGCCCGUGCGCUGUUCAACGCCCUUCACCACCAAACGCGACUUAUAGCGUACCUCACUGCCUGGCUCCUGUUUGACCUUGUAAACCCAGUGGCAGUCCAGGAUGCGUGCACCGGGCGGCGGUGUGCCCGACUCCCAUAUUUUGUUGGAGAGCUGCGACAGGAUCUCGUCAUCCAUCGAACUCUUCCACUUGUCAGCUUGCGGACUCGCCACCGCUUCCUCGUAUUUGCGCGGCUCCUGCACCGCGCUGUGGCCUCCGCUGUCCGCACUGCUGUCGGGCAUGUUAAGCUCCUGUGCAGCGCUAUUGUGUCCACCGUUGGCACUGCCGUCGGCCACGUUAAACUCAGCGCGAUCAGUGCUACCCGACGCUUUGUUAAGCAGCGGUGGACUACCCAAAUCUCCGCCGCCACCGCUGCUGUUGUUGGCCAGGCUGACCGGGGCCAGCGGCUGGUGCAGCGGUUGCCGUUGACUGCAAGUGUUGGGGUGGAGGGGGGGCGCUGGGUUCACUGGGGGCGGGGCAUCCACUUGAGUUGGCGGUGUGGCAGGCUGUGUUGAGCCGCCGACGGGGUUGCUGCCGCCAGGACGGGCGGGGCUGGUGCCGAAGGGGGUGCCCGCCCGUUGAGAUGCCGGGCCGUGGUGGUCGUCAUCGAAGGUGACAUCGCUGCUAACAGUCACCUUGCCGUCAACAAGGACGCGGUGGGCGGCCGUGUUGCGCUCCGGUCCAAGGUAGGUUCCCGCCUUCACGCGGGGACCGAGCUUAUCCUGCUGGCUGGCUGGGAUGCGGAUGUAGGCCAGGCAGCCAAAGGUGUGCAGGUGGCUGACGUCGGGGGUGACGCCAUGAUAAGCUGCCCACGGCGUGGCCUCUCGGUGGCCUCCUGGCCGUCUUGUGGGCCGCCAAAGCGGUACCUCGUCGCAGCAGCAGCUGGCACUGUUGAGGCAGACGGGGGCGUCCACACAGGCCUGACAAACACACCUGAGAUGGACACACCUCGCCUCGAGCUGCACCGCCCCACCAACGGACCCCUGGUCGCCAUCGUGCGCAUGCCUGACACCCCUGAGCGGAUUGAACAGGCUCACAUGCCCAUCUAUAUACACCUCCCUCAGCCGCCCAGCAUCGAUGGCACCAUCGAGCUCUUCACGCUCGCCCCGCACCAGGCCGUGCCCUUCAUGCUUAUGGCCCAGUACUUCGACCGCCAUGAUGAGCCUGACCCUGGCGACCCACCGCAGAUGCUGGUGGAGGGCAAGCCCGGCACCGGAAAGACCCAAUUCAUACAGGCGCUGCUCUGGUACACAUUCCAGCAUGGCUGCCCGCACUGGGCGGCCACCUGCGCCUACUCCUGGGCCGCCGCAGCUGCCUUCAACACGCCAGUGCACCGCAGCCUCUCCACCCACGCCAUGUUUGCCCUCUCCGCUGGCAACAACCAAGCGGAGAGUGUCAGGAAAGGCAGCGCUGCCAGCCUACAGGUGCACCGCAAUGCCGGCACUGGUGCGCUCAUCAUUGAUGAGAUCGGCAUGAACAGCCUAGACCACCUGGGCGCGUGCAACCAGUCAUGCACCCAUCACCUGUUGCCGCCAUCACAUCUCGCCGGCGACCACCCCGCCGCCACCAUCUUCAGCAGCCGCCCCAGCGCCAACACAGGCGAUGAGUUCCAGCACCCAAAGCCAGGUGGGCCGCCCCUAUACCGGUACACCGCCGCUGUGGAACACAACCCCCAGUCCUCACCCUCCGUCCCGACUGCGCAACCUCUGCACGGAGAGGAUGACAACAAUGGCGUCCCUAACGAUGCUGCUGCUGGAGCUCAAGGCGGCAAACAGCAAGCCGAAGUAACAACACGCCACACCCGGGCCGUCCCACAGACCCAGAGCUGCAUCCUCGAGGGCUUCCGGGUCUACCGAGCCCUGGCCAAGACGGUCUUCUUGCUGGAGAAGCAGCAGCGCCAGGACAGCAGUCCCUCUGGUCGUCGCCUGACAGAGUACGCCUCUAUGUUCGGCGGCGAGCCAGCCACCGAGCAGCGCAUAGCAGAGAUGGUUGACGACCUCAACAGCCGCGCCAUCAUCGACUUGGCAGACCUGGCACACCUUGAGCCGCGCGUCGUGCUGCAGAGGAACGAACCACGCCACACGCUCAACACCCGGCUCAUCAUGCUGGAGGCAAACCGCAAGAACCAGCACCUUAUGGUGUGGAACGCCGACCACGUCCCUGUCCAGAAGCGGGGCGCCGCUGUGGAGCCGCCCUUAACACACGUGGAGAAAGCAGUUGUGAUGUGGAUCAAGGAUGACGAGUUUGGCCACACCACCGCCGACACGUGGUACUACCAUGGCGCCCGUUACAUCCUCCUUGACACGACGGCAGCUGAUGCCGGGGCGAGUCACAACAACGAAGUGGAAGCCUGCGGCUUGCUUGAGGAUGGCCGCGAGCCAGCAGAUGACGGCCGUGGGCCAUACCGCUGGCUCAAGUACCUGCCAGCGGCCGUCAUUGUGCGGCCUGUGAGCGGCCACAUCCCCGAGACCGUGCUGCAGGGCCUUGGAGACUACGCAAGCAGGGGUGGCGCCUUCAUCCUGACACCCCGGGCGUCUUGCAUGGCCGAGGUGGAGAUGCCCGCCGGCGGAUGUGGCACCAUCACAAAGCAGAUCCGGCACCUCAACGUGCCGCUGGGCGACCGCCAGGAGGCCACGGGGACAAGUGGCCACGGCGUGGCCUCCCUGAGAGGGAGCCACAUUGUGCAGGAGGUUGGCGUAGAGCAAAGCCUCCGGCCAAUAGCUGUCCGAGAGGGCGGCAUCGUACAGCAUAGCCCGCACACGGUCGAGGAGCGUGUGAUUGAGCCGCUCCGCUGCUCCGUUCUGCUCCGGGGUGUACAGCGCCGAGUGGGUGUGCGCAGUGCCGUGCUGGUGUAGCCACUGCUCCAGUUGCUCGGCGACAUACUCACCACCGUUGUCACUAUGAAGUGUGCGUACCCUCCAGCUGCGUCACCAUGUCCUGCAGCGCUUUGCCCACUUGGUUUUGGCUAACCAGCGUGUGAACGGCAGACAAACCGGAGGCACCGUCCAGCAGCGUUAGCAAGUAACGUGCCCCACCUCGGCCCGUGGUCGGCAUGGGCCUGCACAGGUCAGAGUGCACGACCUCCAGUGCAUGCUGAGGUCGGUUGCCGUGGCUGACAUGGGCUGUAGCUGUGGUCUUCGUGAUGAGCUCCUCCAGCGCCCGGUAACCAAGGUGGCCGAACUGGCGUUGCAGGCGCUGCGCUGCUGCGAGUUCGGCGACUGAGCACUCAGUGGCGCCCAGUUGCCCUUGGUGUUGCUGCCGUUGUUCGGCUGGUCUCCGCCGGCGUCACUGCUGGUUGUGCUGCCAUCGCGGGUGCUGGGGGCGCCGGCUCUGUCUCCCGCGGCGCCGAGCGCGUUGACGGCGCGUUUGGUCGGCGCCAGCAGGUCCACAUCCAUGACGUAAUGCCCCCACUCGCUCCAUGCGGUGAUAGACAAGCUGCUUUGCGGGAGGCCUACACGCGAGAACCGGCGGCCCGUCUUGUCUGUGCGAACGUGACCGAGCAGCCGCGCGUCACGAGAAGGUCGACAGACAUGAGUGUGUGUCCCGAGCUGGGGACAUGCAGCACGUUGCGCAGCCAGACAGAUUCCCCAUCGCGCGUCCUAGGAGCAACUGCCCUGUUCCCAUGACGUCGGCUAGCUGAUUGUUUCCCCACUUGAUUUGCUGAGGCGCACCGACAGGGAUGUAAUUGUGCAUCAAGGAACGGUCACCCGUGAGGUGGUAAGGUGAGCCAGAGUCUAGGACAACACAUGAACUGCUACCACUGCCAUCGACGACCAGCACCGUGGCACGGUUCUGGCGUGAGCUUCUUCCGCCACCGCCGCCACCACUGCUUCCGCCUGCAGUGUCGCUGCCGUUGCGGCGGCCGUUGCCGCGUCCAACAUGGCCGCGUUCACGUGCCCUGUCGCCCCCGCUGUUACUGACAUUGCCGCUGCCGGUGCCUCCGCCGCCGCCGUCACGAUGGCGGUUGCCGCUGCCACUGCUGCCGGCGCCGGCACUGCAUGGCUGCUCGAAUGCAUUGCUGCGGUAGAGACCAACGGACUCGUCCGCCAGCUUAACAGGGUAUUCGCGGACGUAGAGACCAGGCUGUCCACAGUAGCGGCAGAUGUCGUUGGCACCCGCGGCGCCCGAGGCGCCAGCAGCACCGCGGACUCCUGGUGUUCCUGCCGUCGAAUACGGAGAUGUUUGCACCGGGCGAGGGCGGGUCGAGCACUUUCCUCCCCCCCCCGUCUUGGGAGGUCGUAGCAGUACGGGUGCAGUUUUAGCUUGGGCGCAAUCGUGUAGCACUCGGGCGGAUAGUGUGGCGCUUCCCCGCUACUCUUUGGAUCUUCAGUCGGUUGCGGCGCCCCGUCAUUACUAAGUUGUUGUUGGUGCAGCUGCAGCUCGCGGCUCCUAGUCUGGAUCACUCUGCGCGUCUUUUGCAGAUUGCUCAGGUUGUCAUGUCUCGUGUUGGCGCCAGAACCUGGCAGUCGUAUGCGUCGCAUUUUGCCGCCUUUGUGUGUUUCUGUGUGGGGGAAGGUUUGGAGUUUCUCCUGGCCUCCCAUUAUGCCGGGCUCUUGUGGGGUCAGUUUCUCGCUGCCAAGGGCUCCAUCCAAGUCCGCAGAGCGCAGCCUUAUUUCAGUGCUAUCAUCUCCGUGCAUGACUUGCUCGGGUACCCUAAGCCCUGUGCCGGAGACAACACCCUGUUGGCCGCGUUCCAUCGAGGUUGGGAGUGCUUGCAGCACUCAACGGUGCCUGCUUCCGCGCUCGUGUUGGCCUUUAGUGCAGGUGAUGCUUGGCAUCUUUAUGAGCAGUUGGCCGUGGUACCCGUUGGCUCCGAGUUAGCCUUGCCGUUGUUGUUCGUCGUGUUGAGUUUCUGUCUCUUGCUUCGCCCAGACUCUCUGCUGUCGGUAACCUGGGCGCGUGUUGCUGUCGUUCAAGGGGAGCAAGUUGUUCAGUACAAACCCCUCAAUUGGAAGGGCCAUUUGGUUGCCGUUUGGUUGCCCGUUUCCCUGCAGUGGGCUGUCCGUCAGCGUUUUUUGCGUGAUCCGUCGCGGUUGUGGCCGGCGGGUCAGUCUACGCGUGGUGCUGAGCGUUGGUUUGACUUAGUCCUUGCAGAGUGUGGUUUGCCUCAUAUGCGCGGGGUGCAUUCUCCCUAUAGCCAGCGUCGUGGUGGCGCUUCCGCUGCUCGGGCGGUGGGAGUACCGUUUGAGAUCGUUGAAGCGUUUGGCGGUUGGUCUGCCGGUUCUGUAGCCCUCAGAGAGCAAACACAGAAAGUAUGAAGACAGGGAACCGUCGCGGCGACAUUUUCAUUUACGUGAUAGGUAACAUAUAAUGUUAAGUAAUUAGGAUGUAACACGCCUGCUUGGUUCUUGCCGUCUAACAUAUGGAUGCCGUACACUUUUCCGUUAUUACGGUCAAAGUAUGAGGUGCAGCAUACGUUUACAGUACUUCUCCUUUUGUUAGGUUGCAGAUUACUUGAAAGGAACUUGCUCCAGUUGGCGACUGGAGGAAGCAUUCGUUCCCAACUUUCCCGAUCUGCAGAGCCCGACAUCAGAAGCUGGCUGAGAGACAAGGAAGAAAAGAUUACUAAGCUUAAAAAUAUGGUCUAGGGUUGCAUUAAAUUGUCUGACAAACAGGGUGAUUCCACUUGGCCGCACACUAGCAUUAACAGGGUAUUUCCACUUGGCCGCACACUAACUUUUGGACAUUAUCUUUAACGUGGACUUAGUGUGUGGCAGUGGACAGGUGUUUCCACUAAGCGCCCCGGAACCAUACGACAGGUUGCUAUAAAGGCACCAAACCAUUGUUAUAGUAAGAGUGGGUGUAAUUUAAUGCGCAAAUCAUUACAGUUUGGUCGGCAAAUUGCUGGAAUGUGGGCAAUUCGACCGGUCCUGCUGUGAAUUCCACUGGUUAGCGGGCUAUUUGCGGCUGUGGAUAAAGGAAAAUACAAAAGCCAACGUAGGGCCAUGAAGAAGGAAAAUGGCUGACUAUGAAUUUUCCCGCUCGGAAGUUAAUGUCCACUUUGAAAGUUAUCAGCAGGUCUGAGGCCCUGAUAACUAGUGUGCCACUAAGGCGGACUUAGUGUCCGAGGCGUUUCCACUGGGCCCUUCGGCUUUUCGCGUACGGAGCCCCUUUACGCGAUUUUCUUAAAGAACUUUUACUUUCUAUUAAUGUAUUUAACUAGUUUCUUAUUGCUUGCAUGAUUUGCUGAGCCAGGUGUGAGAUUUUUGAACUUAAUGUUAGUGUGCGGCCUAGGNNNNNNNNNNNNNNNNNNNNNNNNNNNNNNNNNNNNNNNNNNNNNNNNNNNNNNNNNNNNNNNNNNNNNNNNNNNNNNNNNNNNNNNNNNNNNNNNNNNNNNNNNNNNNNNNNNNNNNNNNNNNNNNNNNNNNNNGCGGUCGACUCUGAGGAUCCCCUGCGGCCUAGUGGAAAUACCCUGUAAGUUUCAAAAAUCUCACGCCUGGCUCAGCAAAUCAUGCAAGCGAUAAGAAACUAGUUAAAUACAUUAAUAGAAAGUAAAAAUCCUUUAAGAAAUCGCGUAAAGGGACUCCGUACGCGAAAAGCCGAACGGCCCAGUGCGUACGCGUACGCCUCGGACCCUAAGUCCGCAAUAGUGGCACACAAGUUAUCAGGGCCUCAGACCUGCUGAUAACUUUCAAAGUGGACAUUAACUUCCGAGCGAGAAAAUACAUAGUCCGCCAUUUUCCUUCCUCAAGGCCCUACGCUGACUUUUGUAUUUUCCUUCAUCCACAGCCGCAUUUUUAAAUAGCCCGCUAGCCAGUGGAUUUCACAGCAGGACCGGUCGAAUUGCCCACACUCCAGCGAUUAGCCGACAAAACAAUAAUGAUUUGUGAUUUAUAAAUUACACCCACUCUUACUAUAACAAUGGUUUGGUACCUUUAAAGCAACCUAUCGUACGCGUAUGCAUAUGGAUCCGGGGCAGUGGAAACACCUGUCCACUAGCCGCACACUAAGUCCACAUUAAAAAUAAUGUUUAAAAAUGCGGCGAAGUGGAAACACCCUGAAAGCCAUACACGACUCAGAGUCGUACUGAUCAAAGCCAAUCCAUACCUAUUCGGUAACGAACACAAACCCCUUACAUUACUUUGAUAGGGUAUUAUAAAGAGUGGUUACGUGUACGUAGCUUAGCUAUCCAUUUUGGAAUUACUUGAAGCCGCCGACCUUUUCACGUGUGCACACUCCGUGCUCAUGGAUGUUUUAGAAGACUACGUUUCUCCUCCAUCUCUCCCUAGGCCUCUUGAUGGCAGCCCGGGCGUUACGGCGGUAGCCCGCGCCAAUGGCAUCAGUGGUCCAGUCGCCCACAAACUUAGGAACUAUCUACGGCAGAAGGCUCUGAAGAUGGACGCGUUCAUUGCGGAAUUAGUGAAGGCGUCCGAGUACUGCGGCGCCAAGCACGUGCAAGAGGCGCUGGUGACCACACUUGGCAUCGACGCCUUGGAGUCGAUCACACUCCUUCGUGUUCUUGUCCCCAAGGACAACAACGAGCGCCGGAACAGGUAAGGAAUAAGGGUAUGCAGAACGGGGGGCAACAGACUAAGCUUUUGAUAAAGAAAGGUAACGGAUACCCUGGGGGGGGGGUUUCACACAUGUAAUCUCCGUCUAAGGCUAUCUGUCAGUAUGCGCUGGCUAUCUUGUGAUACUCUGCAACUCUGUCACGAUGUUAUUUCAACACUUGCCAUUCAUUCCGUUCUCACUGACAUGUCAUGCAGUAACGCCUCAUCUGUAACUGAGCCUUCCACAACCAAGCAAGUGGCCAAGCACUUGUCCUCCACCAUACCAUUGAAGUACCAGGUGGUCGUUAAGAAGGUUGCGAAGCCCGACGCCAUCAAGAUAAACAAGUGGUACACGUGCGGGUAGGUACAACAUAGAUUGAUGUAGUAGACAUGGGUACUUUUCUGCGCAAGAUCACAUAAUGCUGGCACAUUCUCAGGUUCCUUAUCCUUGGGGUUACCUGAGACACCCUGUCGUCCGCACUGGCGAAGAAGGACAAGCUUAAGGGUGCAGUGAAGGACACAACCGACGUUGUUGACCUUAAGAAGUUGGGGAAGCGGUGGAUGGCGGCGCUCUUCCGGUCACUGACUGGAGACAGCCUCUCAAAGGUUCAGCAGGAAGACAAGGCUACGUACGACGGUGUCUAUGACGCCUUGAAGGCGAAGCUGCAGAACGCGAUGGUCAACCAUCAGUCAGGUAGAAAGGGUGAUGUUUCGGAAACCAAACGAUAUUCAAUCAAACUGUGCGUUACACCUCACACUCCCACAGUGCUGAUCUUUACGUUAGGGUUUGAGUAACCCGCGUUUUGGAUGCCGAUGCAUGCAGAGAAGAAGAAGUCGGACUCCUUUAAGGCCAUCGGACUGACGACUGCAGACAAGGCUAAGCUCGAGACCGUGGCGACCAUGGACGCCGUCAGUGCGACCGAGCUCUUUAAGGAGUGGGUGACUGCCCAUGUCGAGGGCAGCACUCAGCCAGCAGGUAAUGCAUGCAAAGAAAAAACGUGGACGUUUCCUCAACCUCAAGACGACCUCAACCUCACUUGCAAUCUGUGCCUCCGUGUUCUCUUUUGCAGGUCAGGAACGCAAGAAGAGCAACCACACGGCUGCAACUGAGGGUAAGUGAACGCCACUGCUCAGUAAAAGCUAAAUACCCACGCGUUGUUACUAAGUUCAGACAUGAAGGUCAUGUACAUUAACUACUUGAAACUUCCCUGUCAUGCAAUUCAUCAUGUUGCUUGUAUCCCUUCCUAACUUCACAACAAAAUGUAUAACCCCCCAGGCCAGGCCAACGUUAUGGAGACGCAGCAGGAGCCCCUCGGCCAGAAGAGCAGCCGCCAGGAUGGGGAUGAGGGAGAUGAUGGGGACUACAGCAGGGAGGACGAGGGCAGGGAAGACGAGGGCGAGGGCGGGGAGGACGACGGCUAGGGCGGGGAGGACGAGGGCGAGGGCGAGGGCGCGGAGGAUGAGGGCGGGGAGGAUGAGGGUGGGGAGGACGGGGACUGGCCGUACGAGAGCGGGGAUUACAUGGGCGGGGAGGACGAGGACUGGGAGGACGAGGGAGGGGAGGAUGAGGGAGGGGAGGAUGACGAGGGGACGGGGGGCAAAGUCCUGCUCGAGGAGUACGGCAGAAGCAAGAGCCAGAAGGUCCACAGCAAGUCCGUGCCUCAACCAACUGGGCGCCGCAAGGUCCUGGUGACCGGAAAACCUGACAAAGGUAAAUUGUAGCUUCAACAUGACAAUAAAUUACGACUACACACGGAACUUACUAACAACAAGGCAAUAAAUUACGACUACACAUAAAAAUUAAUUUAUGAAUCACUCUCACUUUUUGUAGGGGCAUUGGAUGCCAGAGGGCGGCCCACGCGCCUGAGGCAACCCUCGGCUAAGGCUCGGGAGAGCCAAGAAACGGUGGCCAUGGUGGUGCCUGCUCGAACCAAGCGUCCACGCCCUAAGGAAACCCCACUGGUGUUGCCGGAGGACCCUUCGGCUUUCGGGGCCACAGCGUCAAACCCCGCAAAGAGGAAGGAAUCGUUUGGUGUCGGUAAAGGCCGAGCUGUACAGACCCGCGGGGCUAAGGUGCAGCAGGAGAAGGGCAAGAAGGGAGCCAUGGCAGAGAUUCGGAAGGGGGGGCUGAAGAAGCAGCGGAGGUAGCAGACCGCGGGCAGUGAUCAGGAACCUGGAGGGCGCCUGUAGUUUCAAGUGAUUCUUAAUGUUGAGUAAAGAAGGGCCUAUAGUCCUCGUGGUACCGAUUGAGAGAUGUGAGCAGGUUGUAGUAGGCCAUUGGGCAAUGCUUUGUGUAGGAUAAUAUGAACCCGCUAUGAAGCUGGUAAUCGCUGUUUAAUGCGUAAUGGUCGGUUAACGUCCUGAUAAUAUCUAUGUUAUUGCCCCAUUACCGGGGACAUUCUUGUAACUGGCCGCCUGAUAAACGACCUGGUAAACACCCGAUAAUGCUGCCUGAUUACCGGGUAACUGACCGAUUACCGACCCUAGCCUUGUAACUGGCCGCCCGAUAAACGACCCUGGUAAACCACCCUGGUAAUGGAGCCUGAUUACGGGUAACUGGCCGAUUAACGACCCUAGCCCGUUAACAGCCCAGUAACCUUAUAGCCUGGUAAUCGAGGCCGGUUACCAGGCGUUCCCAUUAUCGGGCCAAUAACAUGCGGUAGGGCUUCGCAAAAUUUCGCAAACAUUCCUCGUUCACCGGCAGGCGCCCUAAGUGCUACGAAGGUCGUAACACAUCCAGCUUCAGAAGAAUAGCAUGUAGACGUGUUGUUGGACUGCCACUGAACAAAAUCUUAAACAAACGGACCUUCGUCGAACUCUCGACCAUCAGAAACUGUCAUGUCGCGAAGGCGCUUGUCUCAAUAACCACUUGUUAGCACGUGUCAUUAGCUCACUGUUAAGAAAUCUUUCUCAUUUCGCUUCCUACCACGUUUCAACUAUACCACGUCUGCCACCGCCGCCGCCAUGGAGCCAGCAGUGGAAUUAUUUACCCGCUUAUUUACGGCCGCGCUGGCAGCGAUUACGAAUUGGCGACAGAAUCAGAAUGUGGCGAAGAUGCUCGUCUUCAAGCUUGCCUGCUGCAUUGCCUCCCUUCCUUCACAUCCACGGGUGAAACUCGUCUUUCAAGGGCAUCACGGUCUGGCACCAGUCGAUGCGUCCCCAACAAGCAUAUAUGAUAUGGAAUUCGAAGAUGGCAACGGCAAAGUAAGGACGCUGCUCGUCUUUUUGCUGUCAUGAAGCCCGUGACGGGAGACACCUUCCAGGCCUCCUCAAUCACAGCUUCCUGUGAGGGAAGCUUCAACCCGCGGAUCUCGUUGAGGACGUACAAUCUGCCGCCGUCGUGGAGAAGCCUGUUAAUUUUUCUCGGUCCGAUUUCUUGGUGAGGCCCAACAGGUGCCCCAGCACAGUGACCUGUAGGCAACAUUUCAAAGGGAGUAGCCUAUAUGAUGUGUCUCCCGUCCCGGGCUUCAUGACAGCAAAAAGACGAGCAGCGUCCUUACUUUGCCGUUGCCAUCUUUGAAUUCCAUAUCAUAUAUGCUUGUUGGGGACGCAUCGACUGGUGCCAGACCGUGAUGCCCUUGAAAGACGAGUUUCACCCGUGGAUGUGAAGGAAGGGAGGCAAUGAAGCAGGCAAGCUUGAAGACAAGCAUCUUCGCCACAUUCUGAUUCUGUCGCCAAUUCGUAAUCGCUGCCAGCACGGCCGUAAAUAAGCGGGUAAGGUGUAUUCAUUGUCAAACCUUGUGUAAGGGAUGUUGCACUGUCACUGUGUCGUGCCUGAGCAUACUUCGUUUUCCUUGUCCAUACAUGGUGAGCAUUGAUCCCCGUGAUUUGUGAUGCUGCCUGCAGGAUGGGACGUCACUACCUGGGCCCAGUGGAAUACCUGCAGUACAUCAGGGAGAACAAGCAGGUGUGGACCAUGGUAGGCUAUAGUGGCAUACAGGAGUACAUGUGAUGGAUGUCUUUACAAUUAUCCCUUGAUACACCCAUAUGUUUGUAUUUAUAUACAAGCCUGCUAUGUAGCCCGAGUGACUGUGUGCCAGAAAGUAGUCUCUUAAGCAGGAGCACGUGGGCACUUAUAGAAAGCCUCAUUCUUUCUAGUUAAGUGUACACCCCCCCCGCCUGCCUCCCCUAAGAGACACCCGCAGCAGACGCCCCCCUAAACACCCCCAUACACAGAGGCACAUGCAGAUGGUGCAACUGCAGCAGUAUCAUUUGUUCAUGCAGGCCAUCCUAUCGCACUGGUGGCACCACCGUUCGCAACAGCCUUAACCAGAUUCAUUCCUGGCCUAAUCCGCUGCUUUGAUGGUUGUGAAAGGUUGCCUCAUGCAUGCUUUUCCAUCUCCUGAGUUUGUCUCUUUGGACCACUCGUAUAUGGUGCUGAACCCUCUUGAACCACGUGCAUGUCUUAACAAAUUCCAUGGCCCUCAUUCAAACGUUGGCAAUGUUUUACUUGUGAACUGCCCAUCAUUUUGGGUUCGAGUUUUGCUAUUGUACGGAUCAGCCUGAAUCCAUAUCACUUCCCAUAACACAAAGACAAUGCAUUCAGCGCCUAUUAUUCUUGUUCAGAACAUGCUGCAUGUACCCAUACUGUGCAGGCACUCUUGGCAGGGGAUGCCACCCUGAAGCAACGGAACGAGGUCGGAUUUGUGGGCGAGGAGGUGGUGUUAUGGGGCUUUGCAAAUACCGACAUUUACCAGUGUGUACCCGUGGACACACUUCACCAGGACUUCAACGGUAUCUCGAUGCAUCUCAUCGAGGCUUUAAAGGCAUGUAUAGAGGAUAAGUGCAAGCAACAGAAGGAGAGAGUGAACUUGAAGAUCAGGGGACGGCUUGCCUCAUAUCGGCGUUUGCAUGGUGGGGGUCGGAUACCCAAGGAGAGCCUGUGGGCAGAGAAAACAUGUGCAGAGGUACGUAUGCUUUAAAUGUUUGUGUUCCUUAGUUACUGUAAGCAUGUAUGUCAUGCAAUACUCCUCAGCAAUACAGAAACCUUGCUUGACGAAGGUAUAGUGUGACACCAGUAGUGUUUGCUGCCUGCUGUUACCUCCCCAACCAAUGGAACAUCCUUCCACAGGAGAGAGAGUGCAUCAUGCGGUUCAUGGGCAUUGCUCUCCAUGACCUUGAGCAACUGGGACUGCCACGUGACAUCCCGGAGUUCUUUACAGGUAGGUGCUCAUUGUCUGCAGACCCAGCUGGGUGAAGCCAUUGCUGUACACACCAACGCUCCUGAUGAGGUUCUGUGUUUAUAUGUGCCGUGUAUGUGCCGCUUGCUCCAUGCAACCAACCAUGCUUCAUUGCAGCUUAUGGGCGCUACAUCCAAGUACGUGACAUGCCAAGGCACACGACUGGAAGCCUCGCCUUUCUGGAUGACCUAAUAGCAAGGUAGGAUGAAGGCACGAGUGAUGGACAGUCAGAUCACUGCUUCGAACAAUGUACAUGUUACAUGUGUCACUCGUGAAGGCUACUACAGAUAUGAACAUGUGUUCAUAAUACUGCUGUGUUUGCUUGCAGACUGCAGACAGAUAUGGUACGGCUGUUUGGCCGAUACAAGAACUGGGGAAACAUCCCCAAGUUCUUUAACAUGCUAAAAUACACGUGGUGCAUCCGGCAAUGGGGCAUGACUGACUUGACAACGACGGGCCCCAAGGAGAGCUUUGUGAAGACUGUGCGUAAAGCAUGGGAAUUUACAAACAAGCAUCCUGACACCAUAGAUAAGCAGGCAAGUGUGUACUAAUCAAUAUCAGGGGUGUAUUUGCCAUCCAUAUGCAACGCCUAAGAUGACUUGUGAGUGACAUGCAUUCUGUGUGCCACCGCCUUCAUCAUACAAAUCUGGCAGGUUGUGAAUAAGCUGGGUGCCAUCACUGCUGGGGGGAUGGCUGCUGAACACGAGGGUGCAGCAGCAGAGGCAACGGAUAAGCACCUGGUAUGUGUGCUUGAAGCUAUGUAUGUGCUGCAGAUGUUGCUGUAACCUUCUACGAUUUUAUAUGCCGCUACACGCCUAACCCACGUUGCAUGUAUCAAUGUACCUGUGUACCAGAGAGCACAGGUACUCAGGGACAAGAAACAUGCCAUCGGCCGGUCAGGUCUCAGCCUUCCUUGGAUACAGGCCAUGGAAAAGGUUAAGAAUCUGCAAGGUCGGUGUAUGCAAGCUUGUAUUUUCCCAAAAUGUUGACCCAAUGGCAUCACACUAUAUGCAUGUCUUGCAUUUUUUUGCAAACAGAUGAAGCAGCCUGGGGCAUGGAGGGUGCAAAGUACCUGCAGCAGUGCCUUACAGAGCAGCUGGUGGCUGCCUGGGGGGUGUCUGCACAGGAUCUGGAUCAUGCCAAGGUAGGCUCGCUGGUUACAUAGGUUCAUGAUACAGUACUAGCAGGUUUAGCAGUGUUAAUUUAGCUAGUUGUUUACUAUGCAAUGCAUGUGAACUUCACACUUGUAGGUUGUCAUCAGGCGUAUGGGAUGUCUUUACUACGCCCCACUUCACACCGUCACUUACAUCCGUGGUGGCGGCCUGGCUAAGUCCCUUUUCAAGACCCAGGCAUGCCCAGUGUGCGACAUUUCAAUCCUGAAGGGGGCUAUGGUGUGUGGUACGGACGGGUAGGCAAAUGGAGGUUUGGUUUCCAUUCGUUGUGUGUAUGUACUUCAGUUCUCUGGAGUUUGCUCAUAUGUGCAUGGCCCUUGUGUGCAGGUGCAGCUACUGCUCAGCGUGCUCUACAAAGACAAGGUAGCAGAUGUGGUGUAUGUUAAGUGGUUUGAUGCUCCAGAAGAUGAAUGGAACCGUGAACUGAAUCUCCGUCCGCUGCGAUGGCAGAGGUAAUAAAAGUAGUUUACACACAGUCGUAAUUUCAGUUGUAUACCUCCCUCUCUUGCACUAACACUAACCAUUGAUUGUCCACACAACCUCCACUUCCAGGGUGACUGGAAAACCAGCAGCAGCUUAUGGGUGUAUCCCGUUUGAGUCCAUUAUCGAGAGAGUGUGCAUUGUUCGGAUCUUCCAAGUUAAAGUCAAACGUACACGUGGUUCCUCCAGCAGAAGCAUGGAUGAUGUGGAAGAGUCCAUGGGCAAUGCAGUUCCCACAGCACAAUUUGUGCUCAACGAGCUCAUCGGCAGCCCACCCCAUGGCCUUUUGCCAGUCGUGUUGGAGGAUAUUGCUGAAGAAGUCAGACAGCAGUCUCAAGAGAGUGAAAAGCGAAGCUUGCGCCCAUCAGAAGCGCGGGCACUAUUGGACAAGCUUAUGGCCAUCGAGGAAUGGGAGCAAUGGGAGUCUGGUUGCGUGUGGUCAAAAGAUGAUGACACAGAUAAAGUUUCAUCAGACGAGGCGUAGCAAAGACGUCCUAGAUAAUAACGACCGGGUAGAGGAGGAUUGAUCAAUUGGGGCUCAUGGGAGUAGGAAAUGACUGUUUGUCUUGUGCUGAUAGUGUCGGAGAAUUUAUUCUGUUAAGUGUUUUGGUUGUGUUUUGGAGUUGCAGCAUUAAUAGGCCAGAUAACAUGUGGAUUAUUCAUUUAGUAAAGCAGACUGAGGGAUUGUGGGCUGAGAGCUGAGAUUCCUUGUGUGAUGUGUGAUAGUAACGUAUGAAGAAUAUGUGAAAAUUGUAAUCCCCUGAGCUUCUAUGCAUCCCAUAUAUUUCUGUACACAGAUGACACAUGUAAACAACAUCCUGGCAAGUAUACAGCAUAGCCUAAACAAGGUCAGGUAUAGGCUGUCAUGUAAACAUGAAGGCCUAUUAUGUGAUGCCUAUAGCAGUCUUGUAGUAGGCACUCGUGUACACACGCACCUGUAUAGGCACUGUUGUUUACAACAUCACAUGUAGACACAUCUGUAUACCAGUCAUGUUUACCACAUAGCCUAAACAAGAUCAGGUAUAGGCUGUCAUGUAAAGGCCAUUGCAUAUUUCGUUAUGCCUAUAGCGGUCUUGUAAUAGGCGCUCAUGUACACAUGCACCUGUAUAGGCACUGUUGUUUACAACAUCACCUGUAGACGCAUGAAUAUACCAGGAAAGUAUACACUACAGCCUAAACAAGAUCAGGUAUAGGCUGUCAUGUAAAGGCCAUUGCAUAUUUCGUUAUGCCUAUAGCGGUCUUGUAAUAGGCGCUCAUGUACACAUGCACCUGUAUAGGCACUGUUGUUUACAACAUCACCUGUAGACGCAUGAAUAUACCAGGAAAGUAUACACUACAGCCUAAACAAGGUCAGGUAUAGGCUGUCAUGUAAAGGCCAUUGCAUAUUACGUGAUGCCUAUAGCGGUCUUGUAAUAGGCGCUCAUGUACACACGCAGCUGUAUAGGCACUGUUGUUUACAACAUCACGUGUACACAUAUCUGUAUAGCUUGGAAGUAUACCGCAUAGCAUAAAGAAGGUCAGGUAUUCUACAUAUAUACAGGGUCCUCUAUUAGGCAAACAUGUACAUAUGUCCCUCUUUAGGUCUGGGCCUUUAUUUCUCGUAUAAUACGUGUACACCUAACUGGCCUAUAUACCUUUCACCUAUUUUCCAGAAUAUCUCGCCUAUACAAUGCCCGAAAAAAUACAGACGACCCCAUCUGCAGAUACUUUGAAGGGUAUCUACAAUUCUUUGCGGGACUACCACCUUGGGAGCGACUCCAAGCAUGUGGACAUUGGCCCCAAGCUUACAGGUGCUCUUGCUGCUCAGUGUCGCAUGUGGCGAGUAUGAGGCCGACCUGGUGUAUGUGCGGUGGUUUAAUGCCUCCGGUGAUGGAUGGAAUCGUUCCCUGAACUUGCGGCCCCUCGUCUGGUUUAGGUACGUAUGGUGGGUGUAUCUUAUUUUCUUUCUCCCUUCUUUGUUAAGCAUGGGUCAAAAGCUUUCUUGCAUUCAUGCCCAACAUUUUGCAGAGCACAUGAAUGAAGCAUGAGGGGCGGGGGCGAAAAGUACUCACAAAUGCAGGGUGUUGUCACUGACUAUCACUAUCACUGACAGCCCCACAAACACUAAUCCCACGUUUGCACCCACUCGUGACCCUUGACAGGCGGAGUGGCCAGCCAGCCGCAUCAUUCGGCUGCAUACCGCUGGAGACAGUGCUGCAGCGGGUUUGCAUUGUCCGUGUGCCCCCAAAGGGCAAGGGGGCACAGGCACCCAGUGCCAGUGGGAAGGGUGGGAAGUCACGCAGGGUUGCGACUGGCAACAGCAAGGGUGGGCACACAGCUAGCUGCCGAGCUGAACCCUAAGUUUGUCUUGAAUGACCUGGUGGGGUUGCCCCCAGAUGACCUGAUUCCUGUUGUGAGUGAGGAGGUGAUGGAUGAGGUGAGGCCACGGAAGGAUUUGCAGCCCUCGGCGGCUCGGGAAGAGCUUACCAAGCACUCAUGGUUUAAGUAGUACUCAGUACUUGCGAUGCUGGGAUGGGUGGAGCCUGGAAGCGCAUGCCUUGUGUAUGCCUAAAGGAGACAUGGAUUUGGAUACUGUGGAUAUUGAUGUCGUUGAUGACAACCAAGGUUGAGGUUUCAUCAGCCAAGGUUGAUGACAACCACUGGUUUGCUAGUGUCAAUGGCAAUGACAAACCUGGACCCGGAACCUGAAUAACAUGGUGGGUGAAGCCCUGGUGGAAGCUCAGAGAGGAAACGAUUUGAGAUUGUAACACAUGAAUAAGGAACGAUGCCCGCCAUCUACUGCCGUCUAAAAGAUAAUAGCCUAUACCCGACUGUCUAUAGACAGUGUCUAUAUCCGACUUGUCUAUAGAUAACCGUCUAUAUCCGCUUCGUCUAUAGACGUAAUCUAUAGACGACCUGUCUAUAGACGACUGGGUAUAGACGGUCGUCUAUGGGUCGUCUAUUAGACGGUCGUCUAUAUCGUCUAAAAAACUCUUCUAUAGACGAGCCGUCUAAAACUCAAAAUAGUUCGUCUAUAGUCACGUGGAAAAAUUACAGACGAUACAAGAUCAAUGAUUUUAAGUAGGCAACGUUUCAAAGCCAAGCCAAGUUGGGCCCACCAUACCAAGCCCAAGCUUGUAAACCAACAUACCUGUCCUCAAUCUCCUUCUUCAACUUCAGCGCAUGUUGCAGACCCGCAAGCAGCUGCCGAGCCAGGCCCUCCUCCUUUUUCCGAUGGCGAUCGCGCACCUACAUAAAGAGGACACCGCUACUUUCCAUCCAUGCAAAAACACUAUUCAUGCUGUAAUCACCCAGAUUUAAACUCACCAGCCCGUUGAUGAAGUCCUGGCGUGCAGCUGGGGACAUAUACGCCGUGAUGUACCAGUGUCUCCGAAUGUCUGCCCAAAGGUGCUCGAUUAGGUCCCCGAAUGUGAGCCCCAGUCCAGGCAUGUAGCGUGAGUUGUAGCGGACAUUGCACUCAGGCUUGUGUGGUCGGAUGUGCCAUGGUCCGAUGGCGAAGGGCAGACCAGCAGGCAAGUCCAGCUCCUCAUAGAUCCUGUGGAAAACAAGGCAACAGAUAUUCAGCUUCUUCACAGGGGAAAAGCUUAACUCAAGUUAAAAUCUGAAAGGGACUAAACUCCCAACCCCUGACCAACCCCAGGGAUGGAUAUAAAAUGGAGACCUCAGCCUGUCAACUCAGGUUAACUUGAGCAUGUGCACAUUGUGUCCCCAGAAAGCUCACCUCUUGUAGUAGCCCUCAAACUUGCACGCGACAUCCAGGAACACUGCCUUGACAGAUGCCAGAUCCAUUCUCUGCUUCAGAGCUUCCAGCAGCACCUCGUAGUACACAAAGUUCUCCUCUGUAUGCAGGCUCACCAUGGCCGGGACGAAGCCAUGCCUGCAAGCAAAUGCUGCGACACCAAGGCGAUCAUAGUUUGCAGCACGCCGCCCGAAGACCUUGGCAGCUUUGAACUCAGAGCAAGAAACAGCAUCUGGGUCCGCCAUCUUUCCACGCUGCUUCAGGCGCUCCAUCACCAACUUCUCCGAGAUAAACAAAUCACCAGCCGCGAGGGGUUGCAGGUCGAGGGAGCCACUGGCCGCAGCCUUAAAGCGCCGAAGGCCCAGGCAUGCGUCACCUGACACAGCAACACACUGCCGCCAGCAAGCAGGGCAGUCCAUCCAGCGGCCACCGCCAGCUGCUGCUACUGCACCAGCAGCAGCAUCCGAGGUACUGGCUCCUCUGGUGGCAUUGCAAGGCUCCAAGGCAAGGAUGUCAUCUACACCCAGGAGCUCACAGGUUCGCAUCAGGCUCUGUACCCUGUCCCAAUGGGCGGCCGCGGUUCCAAUUGCAUCUGCGAUGCCUGCUGGGGUGGGAAGCCCAUUAACCGCGUGUUGACGCUGGAGCAUCUUGGAGUAUGCUGAGGCUGAGCAUGGACUCUCUGCACGCAGGAAGCAGACCUGCUGCAUCAGCCCCCAGUCAAACCAGGCGACGGGCCGGUCUGGUGUGCUUGGAAAGCACCCAAUCUCCAGAGGGUGGAUUUGCCGAACAAAUGGCAGCUGGGCUGGGCAGUGGCGGCACCUGAAGCAUGGAUAUGGUGCUUCGAUGCUCCCCUGCACUGUCACAAAGCGGACGGUCUCCCCGGAAGCUGUCUGGGUGGAUGGUGCUGUGGGUGGACCCUCACGCUCUGCCCAGUCCGCUGUCAGGCACUGCGGACACAGCUCUGGAAGCCGGUCCCGUACCCGCGCAUCAAAUUCAGCUUCCAGGUAGGCCUGUAGGCGGGCUGCUGAGCCUGCGGCACCUCGGCCAAAGUAGGCAAAGCCGUAGAGGCCGAAGUUGAAGUAUGACCGCUGCCAGUUGGCAUGCCGUCGGGCGUUUGCCUCCUCAACAGUUCCCCUACGAGAACCCGCCUGGGGUUGUGGACGGGGUGGUUGCUGCUGCCGAUGUUGGUUGACAUCAGGCUCGUCAAACCCGUCAAGAGAUGGUAGCUGCUCGUUGUUGUCCUCAAUGGUUGGAGCGGGCAGAUCGGGAUCAGCGUUUCCAGAAGACUUAGCUGCUGCGGCACGCGCUGCUGCAUUGGCAGCGGUUGAGCGACUGAGUUCCUCAUAAUACUCCCUGCCGGGACGCUUCCGAGGCCGCUUGGGCGGUCGGGGCCUUACCCAAUCAUCAAGCGUAUCUUUUUUUUUUGCACAGGCCGGGCUACCCCCAGUGGAUUGUCAGCACGGGUUCUAUGAGAACGGGAGGUCCUUGAAGGGUUGAGUAGUUGCUCCGCGAUAGAACGAUAACGUCUGGACAUCCCCCCUAAAUUUUCUGCCUCCAAGCGCAUACUGUAUGUACGCAAACAACGCGUUUGUAAUUAUUACUAUUAUAAUAGUAGAAAUCAAGUUAGGGUUGCUGGGGUACUAUUAUUUUGCCGUGCGACAAGCCUGAAGAUUCAAAAAGCGCGUGCACAGGAGAACUUCUUAAGAACAACCUAUUCGUACUCCAAUUGAUUAUUUGCUGCAAUGGCGUGUUAGGUGCAACGCCAUUUUUCCACUCAGUGAGUGGACAUUGGUCCCACUACAGGAGUGGACGUACAUUCGCAGGGUGAGUUGAGUGCGCAAUCUUAAAUAAGCACCAAGCGGCGGGCAGCAGCAGGCCGGGCCAUUUAGCUUGAAAGGAUUGGGUUAGUAAAUAUCAAAGAGCUUAUUCAAUUCGUUGACAUUGCUGCGAGACUCGCUGCUGGGCGAGUGUCAGGGAAACAUUUCCCGCAAAAACCACUGCUGCAGCAUGUGCGGCAUCCCAACAGCUCAGCUUAGGUUGCAACUGUUGUAAACUUGCGAGCUGCUCUGUGCAUUACUUUAUACAGCUCGGAGCGUGGUCUGCACUCCUUAUUGCAAGCAAAUGAGGAAUGCGGCUUCCAGCCGCCAUAUAAAGGAACCAAAGCACGAUUCCAUAAAAGGACAACACCAGAGAUGUCUGACUGGAGUCACGUCUAGUUCACGACAGCGAAACUGUAAUUUUUACUUUUCUAAACAUGUACUCGGGCCGUUCAUAUCAGUGAGCACAAAAGAACCGCAAGGGGUCCCUCGCACCGUGUUUUGUUAUCGCUCCGUUAAAAUGAUUUUAUGAUAGAAUAGAUCCAAGUUAAGCAAACCUCAUGAGUGAAUUUCAUGGAAAUAAUGGAGGUAGGGAAGCAUUGCUCAAUCCCGUCGUCGAAACCCUUUGCGGCGAAGUCGUAAUACGCUGACGCUCGACUGGACGACAAACUUUAUGAUCGGGAAGCCUCCCUUAGACAACUGCUGAUGAUUGCUGCUGCUUUGGGUAUAUGAUGGAAGCAGGUAAAGGCUAGUAAAAGGCCGAUGCAGGAGUUACAAGAGCGCGGCGGCGUUUUCUUAUCUGUGGUAUCAGCAUUGGGGGAAAGCAGUGUAGGUGGCGUAAGGCCGAAGGAAAGCCCUAAGGAUAAGGGCAUGGUGAGACCUGGAGCACCGACUGCAUCGCGUGACAACCGGCCCCCGCUAUGCCGCACAUAUUCGUGAGGCUGGCGGUGCCCGUCAUGCCACUCGAGGUUUUGUCGAUGCUACAGUCGUGACGCGACGGCAAAAUGGUAGAAACUGCUGGAGCUCGGAGUGCAUACCACCACCACGAAAGGCUGUCCAGUGAGUGGGGACGGAACCGCAGCAGCUGCACGGCCAAGAGCUGGUGGUGUGUGGGAAAUUGGCUUGCAUGCAGCCAUGUGUGAGGUGCGUGCUGCAUGGCAGCAUCAGCAGCACCGUAAGGGCUGGUCUUCACCACUACACCAGCCUCCACAUCGGUAUCCUAAACAUGGCACAUGGCGUGUCAGCUUUUGGCCAUUUCGAGAAGAUGCCGAAUGGCCACGCCCAGCUCAGGAUGAUAAGAACGAGAGCUAAAUGUUAAAGACACGCAAAUGCGUAGCAGCCACAGCGAGAGGGCCUUUACUUUGGGCAUUUCCUAAACCUUCUGAAGCGCCUGACGUGCUGUAGCAGUCGCGUCCUGUGGUCUUUUGCAGGAACUGCUUAUGUAGGUAAUAAUCAUUUUAUACAACGAAUAUUUUUAGGCUACAAAACGGCCAUUGCAGAUGUUACCAUGUGGCUAAUGAUAAGGGAAUUUCCCGUAAGGAGUUCUUUAUCAUAUGCAUCCCAAGCUAAGGAACUUUAUAUUUGUUGUUGCUCCAGACCAUGUAUCAAAUGUUGCACUCAACAACGGUUAUGCUUAUUGCACCAGCUAAGUAGCCAUUUUUCCUGCAGGAAACUGGGUAGACCAAAUCGCGAAGUGUUCCUUCUCGCGUCUUGUCGCGUCCACCCAAACUCGCCAAACGGAGCUAAUAUCCUUCCUUCUGGCUUCUGGUACCUCGUUACAUGUAGUAACGGAAAACCUAGAAAGGAAACUGUAUAAGUCCCAGGAAAAACGAACUCGAUUUCGAUUUCGAUUAUCAUUUCGAUUCAUAAUAGAGCUGGUAAGAAUGUAGGCUAUAAAGUACUCCCUAGCUAAUUGAAAUUCGCACAUUUCUGGCUUGAGAAGGCUAAUGACACCGUCGGCGAGCGACUGGCAAUGACUAAAUGCUUCAAAGCUCAACAGUACAGAUGAACCCUUAGAGAACCAGUACUAUGUUUUCUUCGCGCGCACUGAUCCUCUGCUGCUCCAACCGAGUUUCUCUUUGUUGUUACGCUAGCAGCCGCGGCGCGCCACGGCGGAGGGACGCCGGCCGGUGUCUUUUGCAGUUUAAAUGUCGCCAACCCAUAUGAGAAGAGGCUUCAAGCCACACGCUGCAUGUGUUUUUAAGUAUAUAGACAUAUGAAGCUCUGUGAAGGUUGAAGGACAUCAUUCCAGACCCUUCCAGACGCACAACUUCAUAACGAUCUUCUUUAACAGCUUCUCCUGCAACGCAGUUCUUCCCAGUUUUUUUCGUUUAUUUGAGUGUACUUGUGUGAAAAGUGACGUGCCCGCUGGGAAAGUAGUUCGUUCAACCUCGUGACCUGUCGUAAAACAUUACCAAUGGGCGUCCUUAACCGGUCCGACAAUUCAGUCAACACCAACCUUAUAUUGUAAAAUAGUUAUGUCAUUUCGCAUGUCCUGUUUAGAAACUCGGCCGAAUAUUACGCCUGCGAAUUUGCCACUCCGCGCAGUCCCUCGAUUACGACAAACUUCACACUUCCAGCAAAUCGCGCUACCCCGAUAGCGCUGUACCAGAUGCGAAAUGGUCAAACAAAGCAAAAUUCUGGAGUUGUACUUGACUGGCUGCUGUACAAGGGUCUGGACUCAUCCAGACGGAAAACAGCCUGGUUGAAACGAAACGAAGAUAGCGGGUUUCGUUGAGGGAAGACUUGUUGUGAAUUAGGCUUUUAUAUCAAGACUGUUUGGUAAUGAUUACUACUAUUAGUAUGGCUCUUCUGGAAGCCAAACGACUGGGCACUUUCCUUUAAUUUAUUAACCUGCCCACAAAGUUUGUUGAUGUAACCUGCAGCUGCUAAUUGCUUACCAGCCCCACCCGUUCGUCAGCAGACAGAGGGACGGCGAGGGCUAAUUGCGGGAAGAACAGCUCCUUCUUUCCCGGCAACAGCAAUUUGCCUCGCUAUCGAAUACUCUUGGGACCCCGCGAUACUGCCGCCUUUACUGCACUUUUCGCAGCUCCAAUACAUCAUAUAAACUUGAGUUUGCUGGGUCACUCGUUGCUUGACGUUGCUUGCACACAACAUGGUCAGACGGCGGGGGCGCCGAUUUUGCAUAGACUGGAAAAAUAAGACGACAACGUCCACUGUCAAAUUUGAAGAGGGUCAUGAUCUGGAGCCUUGCCUGUGGCAUCCGGCGUGUCUGCACGUCACAGUGGUGCUUCUACGUGCUUCGUACAUGGCGUCUAAUGGAAAUCGCGUUCCUUGCGGUUGUAAAAAGAGGCUCAAUUAGGUUGUCUCUAUCGUCGUUAAUAUUUAAAAAGUAUUCUUGGCGCCACCACGGGGGGUUGGUUUGUGGCGCUUAUAUAGAUUUGUCCAAAAGUUCGUUAGCGCGCAUCGUCAGCAGUUGCCGUAGACGUGCAACUCGAUACGUAAAAUGGUACAGCGAGCCGCGGUAAAGCAGUAGUAUGUUUUUAUUUUGACGUAAUUUAACGGGGUGCUAUAUUUGUACAUGAUUUGACUGUGUCAUUUGUUAAGCAAGGCGACCAAGGUAGAGGGUAAGCUUCGAGUUACUCGGAGAAAUCGCGAAUUGUGCUUAGACUUUGCCAUGUAUGUGCGCAGGUUCCUGAUCCACCAAGAGAUUUCGCGAUUGAGCCUCUUAAAUGGUACCGGUGCAUGCAUGAACGUCAGUAACGUCACCGUUUCCUGCCUGCUUGGCGCGCUGCCUGAUUCCUUAAGGAAAAGGCGCCCAGUAAAUGAUCAGCAAACUGAUUUUACGACAUCUGACGACAGCAUUGCUUGCAGUGUUGGUUUCUUCCGCAGAAGGAUCUCGCGGUCGAGGUAGGUUCACCGCGUUUUCACAGCUGCCACUCGGUAACCGCAAUGAAGAAGCUAUUCACAUAGUCAUUUUUACUUCCUAUAAAAUUAGAAAAAAAAUAUCAGGGUGAAGAACGGGAGCGGCGCUCUUUGCCAUUGCAAUUACAGUUUCCUGGUGAGCGACGGAACAUUCCAAACGGUACCGGAGUUGCGCAGAAUGACGGUACCAACAACCCGCGCUUCCCGCUAAAACUUAAUGACAUACAGACGCGUCACCUUGACAGUUCUACGGAAGCGGACAUAAGCCGAGUACUGUUCACAGUUCCCAUACCGUUAGGUGCUAGGUCGAUUAUGUCAUCCGACGGGUUUUCCGUUAUCGAAAACCCUCUCCUCACGUCCCCCCCUCCCGCCCCCCCGCUCCUGCGGACGUGCCCAUGUAGUCACGGCCAAUACCUUAUGCCCGGCUCGCAUACCAUGGUCCCAAGCAGGAAAGCAGAUAUUGUCGAAAUGAAAACACAGGAUUCUCUAGGUUAAGGAAUAAACCUAUAUAUCUAGUUCCCAUAUUAACACCACCUGCGUGUGGAUGAAAUGCUGGGUCUGGUUUAGUGCAAGAGGUAGGACCUGGCGUCUGUAAUGAAGAGGAAAGGAUGAAUCGUUGGAAUGGCUGCUAGACGGUCCUUUUGCGUCCAGUUCCCUGUCAUCAUCGCCGCUCUUUUACCCACACCUCGCUGUCCCCCUUCCCGCCCCUUCUCGCUCCUCACUCCUCCACGCUGUCGCUCCUCACUCCUCCACGCCGUCGCUCCUCGCUCCUCCUCCUCGUCCCCCCCAGGUGCCCCCUCCUCGGAAUGUCCCCUCGUCACCGGAUAUGAGUUCCACCGCAAGCAGGAGGCGGCCAGCGUGCUCAUCCUCGGCACAUCUGCCGCCUCUUCGCCUGACAGCAUCGCUGAGGAAUGUGGAAACACGAGGUUCUGUAACGCCUUCACUGCCGCCGGUGACCUGCUGUCCGUCCCCAUGUUCCCCGUGUUCACUGACAUGGAGGGGGACGGCAGCGCUGCUGACGUGAAGCCAUGUGACGGCACCUACCUCUCCAAGCGAACUCUUUCAGGCCUGCGCCUGCCCGUAAGUUUGCCCCUACUUGGUCGGUUUCCAGUACAGGUUGUCUAGGACAAACGGCGGUCUGUCCUAGGUCUAAUAGGAAAGAGACUUUCCUAUCACACCUGCCGUGCAUGGGAUUGAGACCUAGCCGUGCACAAAAUCCAGCACAAAAUCAAACAAGCUAACACAUAUCCACCCAGAUAGGACAUUUCUUCGAAAGGAAACUCUGAAAACCAACUCUGAAAAGCAUGGAUUCUUGUCCCCAGGAGGCCCCGGUGGUUUUCAGACGCAUUGAUGUACAUCUCAAUCUGUCCAUCUGCUCAGAUGUGCACAAGCGUCGUCGAGAGAUGCUACAGCCAUAUGACGUGACAAUGCCGGCUGUCACAAAGUUAAUUUAAUGAUUGCGUCACCGGUCAUCUGUCGUGACUUCACUCCUGGUGUGAGUGCAUCUAAUACAUAAAACCUAUUCCGUACACACAGGCCGACAUGAAGCUGGAGGCUUUGCGCCGGGUGGGCGCUGAAAAGGCCAGGAAUCUCCGGGCCGCCGUAGCCGCAGCCAAAAGGGUGCGUAGACGGGUGGAUGGGUGGUCAUCUUGUUGUCCUGGUGGCGCCUGCAGCUGCACUAGCAGAGCUUGCAACGGGCUAGGUGUGCAGCGGGCGGCUGUGGACCUUUAAGGAAUGUGUCUAUCUGUAAGCCUGAUUCCUAGGCCGCUGUCAAAGACACGUGUCCUGCGACAUCAUACUGUAACGGUAACGGUAACGGUAGCUGUAGCUGUAGCUGUAGCUGUGUGACGACGCAUUCCCGCAGUCCUAUGCCUACCUGGUAACGGUAACGGUAACGGUAGCUGUAGCUGUAGCUGUAGCUGUGCGACUACACGUCACCGCUCAAACGCCUAAGGUGAGGAGCGGUCCCUUCAGUGUUGUGCUGCUAGCGUUGAUGAAAUGAACCCCUUUGGUUCAUUCCCGAAGGGGAACCCCUUUGUUUCAAUCGACCUAACGGAGGGUGUAUCGGCUCUCGACUCUGUGGAGUUUUUAUGGUCUGUAGACAGGUUCAUCGUAAAAUGGGUAGGACGGAGAAGUCAAUCGUACAUAGAUUCGUGAUAUAUAGCUUGGUCUAUAGAUCGUGCCAUGGCAUUGUGGUAGAUAGGUCUGUAAAGGGAUGGGUGAUAGGCACUCUUCAAUUCUACAGACGCUCCCGCACACGCACACACCCACACACCGACAUACCGACAUACCGACAUACAUAUAGGUCAGGCACUACUGGUAAAGCACAUACUGAUGCCCCCGGAGGUUCCGGGAUCGAGAUCUGUCAGGGUCGAAAAGUCCUUCCGAUGGUGGAAGGUUUAAAGUGCCCAUAGUCGAUGGACGGUGGUGACCUGGAAUAAACUUGACCUGCGAGCUGACCAGGAAAGGAGUUGAGCCGCCGUUGAUCCGGCAGAUUCCGUUGGAUGCUGGUGGUGGGUGCGGAACCUGAGCGAUCCACUGAGAAGUUGACUAGGGUGACUAGAUGAGGGUGCCCCGAAACACCGGGGAAGGCAGGGUCUGCCAGGUGGCGGCCGCAGGGUGAAGAUAUGACCCCCCUGUUCCACACAUCAUACACACAGACACACAGACACACAGAGCCGUGAAUGCCCAAGCAGCCUCGCCCGGGGUCUGUAUGUGCAAUAGCUGGCCGCUGAAAAGGCCUCACAAGAUGCUCGCAGAGAUGAAAGAAUGCCGGAUAUACGUGUAUCACCAUCUGCACUACACAUGAUCUACGCCGACAGGCAACCCAUGCACCUGACACACUUGCCCUGAGCCCCUCACGAGCCCUGCGUACGUACAAGCAUUCCAGCAAGUCCAUGAAGGCUUUCUCGCUUGGCCCAACCGCAGGUAGCUGCAAAGCUGAGGAUGAAAAAUCGUAAUCCUCGCACCGCCUAUCGCCUCCCCGCGGAGGAGGUUAGGAGCGCUUUUAUCGCAGCACAGGCAAGUUUGCAAGCGUCCAUCCACUGCUGCUUGCUUCAUUGCCUGUGGGAAGGUGGAAAUUUGUGGCGCAUGCUUGCGGGCAGUUGGGCGGGGAUUUGGCAGGUGACCAGCCGCUUUCGACUUUGUGUUUUGUGGGCUGAGCGCUCGGCGGCUCGCAUGCAUGGGUGGGCCAACGUGGUUGCACGGUACGGCAACCUGGGAACCUAUGCAUCCAUGACUGUUCGCUGUUCGGUCAUUACAUUCACCCGACGCCUACUGGCAGUUACGUGAGAAAGGACUUCCCGAUUCCUGACAGCCGUAUCCGCACAUGCCGCCGGUUGGCGAAAGCGUCUCUCGCGUGUUGUUAAGGAUGGCCGGGCCAGCUGAUGGGGAGGCUCAAAUGCACGUUUUAAGAGCUAUAUGAGCUCUGUAAAACGUUUGAUCGUCUUUAGAACGCACGCCUGUGGUAUAAUAGGGUGGACGGUACCUAUCUAACAUGCCAUAGGCACAAUCUCUACGUGACCAAAUUUAUUACAUACGAGGACUCCGUCACAAAGGGCUUUGAACGGGGUUUUACAGCGGGUUGCGCGAACCAGGCUUUGUGUGUCAUGUAGGAUGGAAGACGGUGGCACUCCACGCCCAUGCCCCGUUAGGUUGCACACCUUUUUGGCAGUUUUUCGGUCAGCAGUCGUAAUUUUCGUUGGUCAGCCAGGUAGCAGCCGUUGGCCAGCAGCACACCAGCGCAGCGGCAUACCAUACCAUGUAGCACGUGUUAUAACAUCCUCCUUCACUUCUUUUAUACAUCUUGCACCCUGUGACUCGUUCAGACGGCGCUGGAUCAGUCGAGUGUCACAGCCGGAUCCUACAUGUACGACGACGUACUGGAUGCGCUGUCGUACCCGGAAUGGGACUCCCGUUUCAGCGGUCCUUUCAACUUCGUCAGCCCCGUCAAGGACCAGGGGGGUUGCGGCGCGUGUGUUGCCUUCGCCGCCGCGGGCAUGGCGGAGGCAUUGAUAGCGACAGUUAACAACGCCUCCGCGUACGACAUUGACUUGUCAGAGCAUUGGUGCGUGCAGAGGGAUCCCUGAACAUCUGCGUAAUAAAACGGUUGGCACACGUGCGCUGCGCACAUGUUCCAACACCAACAUGCAAGUGAUGAGCUAAUACAGUGUUUGGGUUGUGCGGGGGGGGCCUUCUGCGGGGAUCUGUUGAGUCACUCCGACUGUGACCUCACUCCGCUUUCAUCAUUGAUGGAUGUGAGUGGUUCUGCGUUUUGUGUGAAUUCCGAUAUAUGUACGGCAUCAACCACCGAACCACCUGCUGCCUUCUUGUUAUUGCUGCAUCAGCAGCAGCAGCCGGCACCGUCGCAACCCCCUUGGCGGCGUGUUGCCCAUCAUCAGCACCCCAACACAUGCUCUACUCCUGAUACUGCGUUUGCUAAGCUGCAUUAGGAAUGCAGCUGUUGACUCUAUAUAUCAAUGCUGCUGAUGCCAGUUUUUUUCUAGUUGCAAAGAAACCUGCGUGAAAGCCCUAAGAAUGAGACUUGAACUGGCUUCCAUGCACGCACCCUGACUUGUCGCCGCUGCCGUCGCCAGGCUGUUCUUCUGCAGCACUUCGUCAGGACCCCUGUGUGAGGAAGGCUGGUACGCCUCAUCCGCUGUUACCGUCAUAGCGAACCAAAGCAUACCGUUUGAGUUCAACUAUCCAUACCGGCCAGACGCACCCUCUUGUAAGCUCCUUUCGCCACCUGAACGGAGGCCAGGCGGGGUCUUCAAAUACAUCUACAUCACUGAUCUCACUGCGGUGCGUUCUUCGCGCAUGGCGUCUAGAAGUCCAUUUUGUUGUUUUGCAAAUGAAAUCAUCACCAUCAUUCGUUUGAAGUGUUCGUCCGGGCCUCAUCCAUUCCUAAUGAUGGCGCUUUCGCACAUCCACUGUACAGCUGGCCGCUGCUGAAAAGGCCUCUCAAGAUGCUGGCAGAGCGCCUUAACGCGCUUAUGUAUUGCUAGACGUCAUGUGUGCCGCCGUACUCUGUACCACAGCUAAUACACACACACGCAUCCAUCACUUCGCCGUGUUCAUCCGUAUGGGAUGUGUGUACGACCAUUACUAUGUGUAUGCGUACAUAGACACAUAACUCGUGUCCCGCCUGCCCCGCUUACACUGACCGCCACAGGCUAAGCAGCACAUCCGUACGUACGGCUCUGUAACGACUUUCUUCGCCGUACAUGCUGAUUUAUAUACGUGGUCUCCGGCGUCAGGGUGAGUUGGCGGUGGAAUGUCCUGAUCCGAUCAGAUGAGUCAUCAAACCACGCAGAAACCCACGAGCAUGAUACGGGCACGCCGUGCUUUGCCUUGCCUUGCUUUGAUUUGCCUUGCUUUGCUUUAUGUGCAGCGCUUCUAGAGUUUAUGUCUUAUCGGCAGCGCUUACAUCGUUUGUAGCGCAUGCUCUAACGUUUUUAAAGUGCGUGCAGCCCUUCCAUCCACUUAGCAAAUGGAUGGAAGCUACUCUUGAUGAACCUCGAGGCUACUGCAAAUGCGAAGGGCAAGUUUCCGCCCCUUUGCUUCCUGCUGCCGUACCUUGUCGUACUUUGCAGCCCUUACGUCUGGGAUGGCGUGAGCCCGCAGACAGGCUAUCACCAGAUGGCGGUGGUGGGCUACAACGACACAGGGUAAGGACAGCAGACUGCAUGUGUGUGUGUGAGUGAGUGUGUGUGUGUGUGUGUGUGUGAGUGUGUGUGUGUGUGUGCGUGAGUGUGUGUGUGUGUGUGUGAGUGUGUGUGUGUGUGUGAGUGUGUGUGUGUGUGCGUGAGUGUGUGUGCGUGUGUGCGUGUGUGUGUGUGUGAGUGUGUGUGUGUGUGAGUGUGUGUGUGAGUGUGUGAGUGUGUGUGUGUGUAUGUUACAUGGUUGGGGGCGCGUGACCCCAUACCUGUAAAACUACCCAUAUGAGCCGAAGGCCCAACGGCAAAUACCAAAACGCCUAAAAGCCAUGCAUGCGUUUUUCCUGCUCCAUAAGGGUCGCCUCCGUGCAUUUGCUUGGGACAAAAAGGUGGCUAAGCUGAUUGUGUUUGCUGGUGGGUACUUAGGUGAUGACAAGCUCACAAGAACCAGGCUUACAGGCAUCACGCCAAAUCUACGUAACCGUAGGUUACCUUGCUUUGUCCAUAACACGGAAGCCCAUCAUGCAUGUACUUGCACUUCCCCAAAACAUGUCUUACCUGCGUGUCAGGGGCGUGUUAUGUGCCGGCAGGCUUUUCCGCCUGUAAUGAUUAAUGAAGUGCGUUAACGGCGCGUGUGCGCGUGUUAAUUAUCGGGGGAUGCACCGCCACGAUGAUGAGUCAGUAGUCCAUUUCCAUUUUUGUACGGACGCGCCGUCAACCGUUCCGUUGCCAACACAUCGAUAAGCACCCGGGUACCAACUUAACGCGUUACGAUUUUGUUUGGCUCUAAGAGAGAGAGAGAGAGAGAGAGAGAGAGAGAGAGACUUUACACAGUUUUUUAAAUCUUUUUUUGUUGCUGUACCCAGUGUUGCUGAUCUUUCCUUUGUACGGUUUGGAACAGACACGCGCUCCAAAGUGCAUGCCACGCCAAAAGUGAUACAGUAAGUAAGCGUUAUGAGUAAACAAAAUCCAGUGCAGCAGGCAGCUCAUGUACGAAUCCUGCCCAUGUUUUCCACCUAUAAGCGCCGCCCGUUCUCCCCUCGGGCGUCCCGUCAUUUUGUCCCAUCCCUUCCGUACAGUUCGUACUGGAUCGCCAAGAACAGCUGGGGCACCGGUUGGGGCGAUAAGGGAUUUUUGCUUAUGUCGUACAAUGCAAAUGUCAGCUUCAUGUCAGGGGUUGGCGAUAACAUCAUUGGUUUACUUUGGUUGCCACCGCCUCCGCCACCACCAUGGCCGCCGUCACCACCUUCGCCGCCGGCUCAACCUUCACCACCGCGCCUUCCACUGCCGCCGCCACCAUUGCGACCGCCGCACCCACGAUAUCCACAAGCGCCGCCGCCGCCAUCACCCUCCAUUUCCCCGCCACCACCAUCACCGAUGCCGUCACCACCGCCGCCAUUGCCCUCACCGCCGCCGCCAUUGCCGUCACCGUCGUCCGUACAGCUGCGCCCGUCGCCCCCGUCAGCCCCCAGACCGCAGAAAGGUGUCCGUGAUCCGCCUUCGCCGCCACCUACAUUCCCGCCCUCCCCGUCAUAUCCCAAGCCGCCGUCGCCGCCACCAUCAAGGGUCCGUCGGCGCCUGCCCCCGCCGCCGCCACCGCCGCCUCCACCGCCGCCUCCCUCCCCCUCGCCGCCGGCCCCACUUCCGUUCUGUGGUGACGGCUCCUGCUCGGCUGGGGAGACGUGCGUCACGUGCCGCCUAGACUGUGGGGCGUGUCCGGUGUGCGGUGAUGGUCUGUGUUCAGGUAAUUGCGAUUGUGCUAAGGCGGUGUGAUGGGUGUGGUGUGAUUUCCCAUCACAGCUGGAUGUAGACAGGCACGCACAGGUUCAAAUUCGCAGUCUCAUCAUUACGACAUUAAGCAGAAAGCAUUUCACGUCAGAACCGCUUGCCGAUUCUGUACCACAUCAGAUUUUAUAGAUUUAAUGAAUAUAAAAAGGCACAUUUGCAAAAUGGGAGAGGUCCUUGAACUCGUAAAUGUUGCCCCUCCGUAGAUGUCUUUACGGGUUUUAGGGAAAUAGGAGCCUUCCAACAGGGGCUUUAACGGACAACUAACUGCUGCUUAAUAAAACAUUAGAAAUCGUGUUAAUAGAUAGAUCCUAAGUACCUUAGUUUAUGGCAUCCCUUUGGGAGAUGCACCAUACAGAAUGGCAAAGCACAACAAGCAACCUGGUGCUUGCGGAGGCGAACCCUUCCGUGAGAACUACAAGGACAAGAUUUGACCUGCUGAUCUGCAUGAGGCACUAGUUACAUGCCUUUACAUGCUACUCUGCACAACCAUCCUCUGUUGUGCAGAGUGUUUACCGNNNNNNNNNNNNNNNNNNNNNNNNNNNNNNNNNNNNNNNNNNNNNNNNNNCAACAGAGGAUGGCCCUGCAGAGUUAACCUUCUGCCAUGAGCGUAUAUAUGAUGUGUGAAACAGGGGGGUGUAUCUUCGCCCGUGGCAGCUACCCUGCGAAGCCCUGCCUUCCCCGGUAUUUCGGGGCACCCUCAUCCAGUCACCCUAGUCAACUUCUCAGUGGAUCGCUCAGGUUCCGCACCCACCACCAGCAUCCAACGGAAUUUGUCAGGUCGACAGCGGCCCAACUCCAUUCCUGGUCAGCUCGCAGGUUAAUUUUAUCCCAGGUUACCAUCGUUCAUCAACUAGGGGCGCAAUGCCUUCCACCAUCGGAAGGACUUUUCACCCUAAAGGGUAUCGAUCCCGGGGUCUCCCGGGGGCAAUGGUCGCGCCUUACCAGUAGUGCCAAACCCUGCGUCUAAAUGUAUGUCCGUCUGUCUCUUAGAUUGGGUAGGCGGCGGGUAGCGCAGCACCUGUGUGGUUGUUCUUGGUAAUGAUGGCAUGACAUGACAUGACGUGACAUGACGUGAGUUUGACAAGUUUGUGGCAGCUAAAGAUAAGACAUUGUGUUUUAGGGUUAGAUACAGGAUGCGACGCGAGCGUGAACACGUGGGCACGAACGUGGCACGUGUGUGUGUAUGUAUGUACGUAUGUAUGUUGGCAUGUAUGUAUGUUGGCAUGUAUGUAUGUUGGCAAGUAUGUAUAUUGGCAUGUAUGUGUGUGUUAUGUAUAUUGGCAAGUAUGUAUAUUGCGAUGUAUGUAUAUUGGCAUUUGUGUUGGCAUGUAUGUAUGUAUGUUGGCAUGUAUGUAUGUUGGCAUGUAAGUGCGUUGGCAAGUAUGUAUCUUGGCUUGUAUGUAUGUUAGCAUGUAUUAUUGAACUUAUUGGUAAUAAUGAACGUCGUUGCUCUCAUUGCGCGACCACGUGCAGCUCUUUGUCAUUUCCCCUCCGGAGGGAAAUGACACAGAGGGGAUCCAGUACACGUACCAAACAUGAUACUCCGUGCUCGUCCAAGCAACCUCGUCCAACAAUAUGCCGCAAUAUCCAGCAGCUUCGUGCAUUGGAUAUACAUCUGUGCGUCAUCAUCAUAUUUCCCCUCCGGGCCCACAAAUCCGAAACUCGCACAUUGCUAGCAUUAAUGAAUAGUAACAGAUGGAAAGUCAUUUGCGAAGAACAAUAUUAGUCAAAAAACGGAUCGCAGCUCGCCGACGUAAUUAUUGAUGUUGUAUUCGCUCCCGACGCCCGCCUGCCCGCACGCACGUCAUGCUCGUUCGCAGGGGGUGAGACCUGCGCUACUUGCCCUGCGGAUUGCGGUAUCCGCCUUCGGAAUGGCACUCGCACGUGCUGUGGCGACGGCAUAUGCAGUCCUUCGGCAGGGGAAACGUGCGUUACGUGCCGCCAGGACUGUGGGGUGUGUCGCAAUUGCAACCGGAACUUCCUCUGCGAGCCGCAUCUGGGUGAGAAAUGCGUCAUCGGGGGAACCGGCUGCUUGGAUUGCGGCAAUUGCAAGACCAUUUUUUGUGGAGAUGGCAAGUGCACAUCCAACUCGCCUACGGGCGGCUACAAGGAGACGUGUUCCUCAUGCCCCAUGGACUGCGGCCGGUGCUAAGAUCCAUCGUAUGCGGUACGUUUCGUACAUUCGUAUAGCCUCACUUGGCAUGCGUUUCCCUGUGUUGGAGAUACCGAGGUGCACUUGAAACGUCCGUGUGAUCCUCCUAGAUGUGUGUGUGGUGUGUGGUUGUUACAGUGGGCUCCAGAAGACUCACAAAGAGUAGAGCCAUCGGGCCAGCUGGCCGUGCAUCACUGCACUAGAGACUAAUAUACAAAUUAGACAUUCACCCAGAUGACACAACUAAAGGCAUUAUGACAGUCAAACCGCGAGGAAAAGGAAGGCUGAGGACCCCCCCAUUAUCAUUGAAAUAGGCCUGAGCCUGAAAUGUCCUCCAAGAAAGAGAAUCAAAACAUUGGUGAUAGCUAAUCGUCCAUCGGUGACCGCUCCAGUGAGCAUAACAAUUUGCCUGAUACUUUUCGCAAGAAGGGGUGAUGUGCGCCAACCGAAUCCCAAUAACCUUUCCGUGGAAUUCCCAGAGCUGCGAAACCCUGAAGGCGGCCCCAAAAGUCAACAAUAACUCGACAAAUGGCUCCUUCCGUAAGGGAAGGGCCAGGUAACAGUGCCGGGUUGGUUUUCAUGUUUGCAACCAUGUAUCGUCUCCCAUGCUCCUAGACGUGUUACCUGGUUUGGGCUCUCUUGGAGCGCUGUAGCCAAACUUGGAAACAUUGAGAUCAUGUAGAUGAAAAUGCCAAAAUGGAAUCAUUUAAAAAAAUAGCGUCGUCCCUGUAUAUUUCGUUAAUGGAUGGAUUGUCUUACGCUUGCCGUACAACCCGCUGACCGUUCAGGUGACGGCAUGAGUGCAGCAUUGAUGAUGCGAGCACGUGCGCCACAGCAAGAAGCGGCGGUCGGGUCCAUCGUGUGUGCCGGUCAAGUUCAUAUGUUACCAAGAUUGUUUCACUAAUGGUAAAGCUGUUGCCUGGGUGAUCCUAAUUGAGCAAUGCCGGCUUCAUGGUCAGCAACAGUAUUGAGAAUUUUUUACUUACGAUGUGAUUUAUAGAUAUGGUGCAAACAUUCAUUCGAGCAAUGGUAAAAACACAGCUGCUCCAAUGAUGUGAGUUACCAACUAAACAACUAACUGCAAGAGUUAAGUCAACGGAAAAACGCGGUCAUCGACAGCAAGGAACUAAUUAGUGCCGGAAUGGUUGAGGAUGGUGUAUAAAUGGUACACGAGAGAGUACACGAGAGACAACAUGUGCGUGUGUGUCGCCUUCGGGUCAAGUUGCAGAAUAUUGCACAUACAUAUGAUGUGUGAAUCAGGGGGGGUGUAUUUUCACCCGUGGCCGCUACCCUGCGAAACCCUGCCUUCCCCGGUAUUUCGGGGCACCCUCAUCCAGUCACCCUAGUCAACUUCUCAGUGGAUCGCGCAGGUUCCCCGCACCCACCACCAGCAUCCAACGGAAUCUGCCGGGUCGACAGCGGCCCAACUCCAUUCCUGGACGGCUCGCAGGUUAACUUUAUCCCAGGAUCAACUAGGGGCGCAAUGCCUUCCACCAUAGGAAGGACUUUUGACCCUAAAGGGUAUCAAUCCAGGGAUCUCCCGGGGGCAAUGGUCGCGCCUUACCAGUAGUGCCAACCCUAUUAUAUAUUUACAUACAUACGUACAUACAUACGUCGACGUGUCCAGGCUUUAGAAAGGUAGGGCCAAGGGCUCCGGCGGGUGAAGGUGAGGGGCUGCUGUUCGAAGAGCCGAGAAGUACAAUUCUAUGGUAGCCAUAGCUUGUGUAGCUGUAGGAACUUUUAUCGUUAUAGUGCCUACUAGAGUAAAAUUUCAGUUUCGAUUUGCCGCAUGGAAUGGACAGAUUGGUGGGUACACCGACGCAUGCGUCGGUGACGCAUUGUUUUCCGCCGGCAUCUAAUCAAAAAAUUUUCGUCACAUUGCAUUAGUUGUUGUGUGGUGCAUCUCUUGCUGGAGAGUCCCCAGACAUGCCUUCGUAAUGAUGUUAGGAAAUCCCGGGACCCGCAUUUGUGAGCGCGAGCGUACAUGCCUAUGCAUGAGAGCGUGUGCUUGCAUGCCCGUGCAUGUUUAUGUGCCCGUGCAUUUAUGCGUGUGCCUAUGUGGCAGCACGCCUGCAGCCGUAAACAUACUCAUGCACGGGGAUAAAGGAUAGUCAAGCUAGGGUGGAAUCAAUUGCGGAAUGUACAGCAUGGUACGACAAUAUUUUCGUCAGUAGCCAUGCAUUCUUCUUCAGGUAGUUCUGUAUGUGCGCCGUGCUCUAUCCCGUCGCCGCUCCAUCUCCGCACUGGUGCCGUACUUGCCAUUCCUGAAAUCAUCAUCCGGCUGCGAGCCGCAGGGAAUUCGCAUCUUCUUGCGGUUUUAUUUUAUUUGUCAGAUGUGAUCACUCAAGAACCCCGGGGAUCUUGGAUCCUAAGAUGUACUGCACGCAGCAGGCUGAUCAGUAACUCAAACAGGACGAACAAGUAUAAAGCGCAUUUCCCAUCAGGUUGCGUGAAGACAAAAUAGGUGCUCAGCUAUUUGGUUACUUGAGAGUUGAUGGGUGAAAUGAACCGGUUUUGGUUACCUCGCGUGAGACGGCGAAUGGAGCUUAUGUAGAUGUCGCGAGGUAUUGCAUGUACGGCACGUACAGUACAAAAAAAGGGUACAUAUAGGAUUUUGUGUCAUUAUUGCACACCCGCACACUACUACUGGUAGUUUAGCUUCAUGGCAGUCCUGGUAAUGUGAGCCAGCAGCUGCAGCAGGUGUUGGAUGCACGACACGAGCGAUGAUAGAUCAAACCAGGCUAUAGAUUUCAUUGCAUACAAUAAUAGAGGAUGGUACGCGAUUUUAGAGUUGCGUGCAAAUUUUUCGCAGUUGUUGGUAGCUCUUCUGUUCCGUUGCGUUUCGUUCAAUUUGCGUCGUACUUGCUGAUUUUCGUACAUGUAGGUAUUUGUUGCUGAAAAGGAACCCGCGCGCGUGCACCAUUAUCAGUGUCGCACAGUUGCCAUCAUUCAUUCCGCCGAAGUUCUAGCGAGAUAGAGCACAUUGAUUAUCGAUUGGGGUUUUGCAUCAUCAACCCGACAUUACUAUUCUACGUACGUGGGGCCGGAAACUUCCUGCCGUACGGCCUUCAAGCUAACCAAUACGCCCAUGUCAUCACGUGCGUGGGCUUGUUGAAUUCUGGGCGUAUCACGAGAUCUAGAUCUGCAUCCGCCGAUUGGCACUUUCUGAAUAACAGGGUUUGCGUGCUUAUACGCAUGUUGUCAUUGGAGUUUGUGUCUGCUGUAUGUGUGUUUGUAUGUGGUCGGCUGUAUGUAUGUAUAUAUGUGUGUGUGUGGUUGUUACAGAGGGUUCCAGGGUAGAGCCAGCGGGCCAGCUGGCCAUGCACUGGGCUGGAGACUAAUAUACAUACUAGAGUGGCAUGCAGAUAAGACAAUGCAAUUCAAUUCGACAAUGAAAACCGCGACUAAGGGGAAGGCUCAGGACUCACAAUCUAUGUGUAUAUGCGUAUGCAAUAACAACCCAAACUUGUAACAACGGCCGUGUUAUUGCCCAGUUGAUAGAGCUGUAUAUUCAGGUCGGAUUGACCUCUGGUGAAAGUCUGUUUUCGUUUAUCGCCCGAAAUAAAUUAAACUAGAGGGCGGCUUUUCAAAGCCGAAAAGGGGCUCGGCCCCGGUGCAGCCACUUGACCCCCGUUUGAUUCGCAAGGCAGUCCGUACAGCAUAGGAGUGCAAGCACAAGAACGCCGCCACGCUUGGAGUACACACUUGUUAUUGAAAUUCUCAAACAUUAAAGGUCGGCAGACUUGCUACAGCGGUGCAGACCUGUCUGGAUCGUUUUAGGGUUUUUAGCCUUUUUUAGCCAUAGCAUAAUCAUUAUUUUGACUGAGCAGUUAGCCUUCUCGUGAUGCGGCAAUCCGUAGAAUGACAUACACACAAAGCAGGAGUGUCAUUGCGGCAACGUGUGCUGCCGCUGCUGCGCCACAUCCAUAUGAGUCGGGACUGCCCGAUAUGUAGGUGGCACUACCGUUGCAUCCAUGUUCGACACCGGCCCUUCGGUCUGCUGGCUGGCAGUUCAAGGUGCGCCAAAGUGCCCGUGCUACAUGGACCAAUUGUUGUCCGCUCCCAGCCAGAACGCAUUCGGGGAUCGUUCCAAUUGCACACUUUGAAGUCGGAAUGCAGCGGCAAAGCUGAUGGUGUGUCGCAGGGGCACACUUCGUUUGAACUUGGAUUGAAUGAAUGAAGGAGGGAAUAAGAAGGACAACAAUCAAGCAUCGGGUGUUUCUGGUGAAGCAGCUGUCCGCGGUCAUUGCGGCUCAUCGUAGGGUGACCGCAAUCACCGAGGCCAGCUGCUGCCGUACGGUGGCGAAAGUGGCUUGCCGUGCAUAACGUGCACGACGGAUAAUGGUAGUGUCCACAUCGCAGCCUGAAGGAAAGGCGGCACCGGCGUGUGUGCGUAUGUGGAAGUGUUAUGUGGGUGGGUGGAUGCCACUGCUAGCGGUGGGGAUAUGGACAGCACGUUCAGGCAGCCGGACGCACAUCACAACCGUUUACACACACAUUGAAGAGGGGAAAAUGUUUGGCGCCCCGGCACUGUGCACGACACAAAGUUUGUAGAACCGCGGUGCACUUUAGGGUUGUAGGGAUGUAGGCUGUGGUGAAUGCAAGUUGAUACCAGUCUUUCCUUUCAGGCGUGCAACGCACGCUGCACGAGGGCGCUGCGGAACACAGAUGACGCGCCAGCAGUGUGUUGCGCGUCUUGAUAACAGCGCACUGCUAUCAUCGGCCUGCCGCGCCGACCGAAGCUGCUUAUGAAGGCUGCUCUCAGCACGCCAAGAAAGCGAAUAUUGUAUUCUCCAUUGAAAGUUUCAUUUUUCAACAUUGACGCUUUCUUCCCGCGUCGCCGCGAGAUAUCCUUUAUAUUGGUGUUUAUCUUUUAUUAAUUAAUUGUCUUUCUUCUUUCUUUGUUUUCGCAUUUCUAUUUUGAAGCAGCCAUUAAGCAGUUCAAUUGUUCUGUGGAGCCCUGCAUGCCAAAUGACCUGCGGACGCGCCCGCCCCUGUGGCGUUUCACAGUAGCGGGGGCAACCCGCUGGCCGGUCCGCACAGCAGCCAAUGUGGCGUCCGUCAACGCACGCCCGCGAAUUUUCCGCACGCAUGAUGCUUAUCCCGCCAGCGCACCUGGCUCUUGAAGGUCAGACCCUUUGUUGCGCGGCCCGCUGAGGGCUUCGCAUUUUGGGCAUGUUAAUGAAGCCGCUUCGGCUCCCUCGCAAUUUUCACACGCCCGCGAAUUUUGCGCACAUACGCGUAAAGCCCGCGUCCCUGGCAUUUGAGAGCUGGCCUUUGCGCGGCCGACCGUGGCCUUCGCAUUUUGGAGUUGUAUGGAGUUUUUAUUCUGGCAGUCGUACCCUGUAGUGAGAGCUGCUUAAACAGGCACGAGCGAGACGCCAGGAGGUGCUUAGAGCGUUGCCAUGGGUCGGUCUGAAGUUGCCGAGCAUGAAGGAACCAACCCAUAAAGGAUCAUGCCGUCUGCUUAUGAAUCUAUAAUGUAAGGGACAUGCAACGACGUUAGAGGCAAGGGCUGCGGCGUGAGGGGAAGUCAAACUCGAAACCAUGGAAAGCUAUCUUCGCGCUCCGAUGUAUCUGAAUGCUCUCCUUUGGCCAAUCAAUAAAGAAUUGAUGUAGCUUUUACAUGCAACCUUUAGCGAAGUGAGAUAUGUAAAUUGAUCUCACCCUGCAAAAGUGCUGUUCACGGAUGACCGGCCCUAUUUGCCGUUUAAUGCCACUUACUAGCAGGAGGCGAUUACCUUGAUGGUGUAGUGUUUUAGAAAUCUGUUAACAUGGUUUUGGAAUUUUAAUAUAAUAUUGUGAAACUGCAGUGCAUUCGGGCCUGUAGGCGGGCCGUAUCCUGGCAGUUUUAUGACGCGGCCUGUGGUCAAAAUAGGGCCGGUCAUCCGUGAACAGCACCUCAAAGCUAUCUUCGCCCACAGAUAUAUCUGAAGUCGUGUUGGUCUAUUAUUAGAGAAUUAGGUAGCUUUUAGACGCAAUUUAAAGCGGGGCGAGAUAUGAAAAUUAAUAUGUUAGGAAGCUAACUUCGCCCACAAAUUUAUCUGGAUUAAUUCCAUUGUUUCAUCAAUAACAGACGCAAUUUCAAGCGGGGUAAUAUAAGAUGAAAUGUUACACCAUGACUGACUGACGGCCUUACGGACUGACGGCCUGACGGACUGACUAACAGCGGUUAAAGUGAACGUAGCUAGGUCCCGGCCGGCCGGCCCCGGCCGGGGCCUCGCCCAAAAAUCAACGGCCUACAGUUACUUGGUCUUCGAUACUUGCCUGGCUACCUACAGCUCGCGGCGGCCUCGCCUGUCACAACAAAGCAAACAGCUACCUUUUCGGCCCGGUCAGGGCCUAAAAGCCCCGGCGCUCGUCCUUUCUCGGGACGAGCCGCCCACAGUGUAACACCCCAACAGCUACCUAUCCACACAUCCCAUGCGAUUUUCCUCGCCCUCGCACGCCUGACGACGCGAACAACGUUUACUGUUCUGCUUGUACAUUUAUUCGGCGAGAAGAAUAAGAAUGAUAAUUAGAAUUAGCUCAGUCAAGACCUAUGUCAUUAUGUACACUUAUAGCACAUCGAACGCCAUGCACCACGUGUCAUACACAUCGCGCCAUCAUGUAAUUGUACGGCAGCCUGUACAUGCAUGUACGACGUAACGGCGGCCAUGGUAUGCGUGCACACGCUUCACGAUUUGUCACUGUUGUCAGAACUGCUAGACAGAGGACGAUGCUCAUCGUCGGACGAUGCACGUACGGCGCUGCUGUCGUACUCCAGGCGUUAAGUUAUAUUUCCAAUUUUUUACCCAACAGGACCAUAGAAAACGAAGCGUAGCAUUGUUACAAAAGAACCGACGGCGGUUUUAUCUCCAUUCCUUCGUUCGUGCUUCACAUAGCACCCGCUGCAGUACCUGGCCGCUGAACAACGCCACAGCCUCAGAUGUCGGUGGUGAACCACCUUAACGCGUAUUCAUUUACGGUAUGUGUGCCGUACGAACGACAUCUACUACACCCGCCCACGCGGUUAACGACACCAACCGCCAGCUCCCAACCGUCGAUUGAGCGAUGAUACUGGACAAUCAAAGAAUAACGCGGCCACAUCGACACAAGCAAAACAAAAACCAACACCGACUUGCCAUCAGUGGACAUGUUCCUGGGCAUUUCACGGCGCCCUUAAACACGUGCAGCAGCUUGCUUUAUCAUUCGUACUUUCCCCGCGGGCUGCCCCUGCAGCGGCAGUUGUCGCCGUUAUUAUUACGUCCCCGCACUACUACUAAUUAUUACAGCCAGCCACACAGCACCGGCAUCAUGGAGCUUGCGGCUGCAGGUAAAAACUGUUUUAGCCGGAGCUUUGGUUUUAGCUUUUUAAUGUACAGAUACUGGUACAUAAAGUACAGCAAGAGCUGAUAGAUGAAAAUGAUGAAAAAGCGCAAUAAAUACUCGAGAGGAAAUGUAUGAAAGCGCAACAGAAGAUAUGACUGAAGUACACUCCAUCCACGCUACCUACAUACGUACAUACAUACAUACGUACAUACAGAUGUAGCGAGAAGGCCUUGACUGGCUGCUUUCAUCUGGCUCAUUGAUUGGCCCCCCCCCAAGUUGAAGGUGAAGAUGAAGGUGAACGUGAAGGUGGACGUGAAGGGAAAGGUGAUGAGGCCUGCUGACUGCUGAUAGGUUGAUGGCCAUCUUCCUCGCGAUUGAGAGACGACUCGUCAUCCUACUUCGGAUACCAUUCCACGUCAGAUGUAGGCAGUGGACCGCGCACCAUCUAUAGCUAGCUGGCGCUUCCCUUUUUCACAAAACAUUCUAAAUAUUUAUCUAAAUUUUUUUCGAAGUCUAUAAAAACGGCAAAAGGUGGUUUUAGAGCAGCGAUAUUCGUGGAGGUAUGAGCCCCAGCAGGGCAGUAAUUCAGCUCGCCCACAUGUUGUAUGCUGUGCAUGAGAGAACUUGAUGCGACAGCAAACCGGCGGCGCCGACGAGACGCUGCAUGUUGGCCCGGAAGCAAAAGCCCCAUCCGCCUGCACAAGCUAAGCUGGUCUACCUAAUAACACACAUCAGCGAUGACGCGCGAGUAGAUCGUGCGCGUCCAUCCAUCCAUUCAUCCGUCCGCAUCCACAUACGAGGAGCGAAGAGGGAGUGAAACUUGCUGACCCCCCCUCGAAGAUGGUAAUAACGGCGGAGACACAUAUACACACAUACACACAUACAUACACAUAUACACACAUACAUUCUGAAGUCGGAUGGGGUGAAUGGAUUAGGGUGGCCCUCUCGCAGGGGAGAGCAGGGAACUGCCUCCAAGGGAAAGGGGGCCGCUGGUGAAGCUAUACCACCCUGUAACAACAUCAUACAUAUAUACACACAUACAUACACGCAUACACAUGUGUAGCAGCAAUAGCCGUACGUAGCGAAACUAGCUGGUGUCUGCAGACAGAUAGACAGGCACAACAAAACGCAACACGCAGCAGACCUGCAGGGUAUCUACCCUACUCACGAACGCGAAGGCGGCUUAUGAAGAACAUGAAGAACAUGAAGCACAUCAUGGCAUCAACAUCGAGCCAUUCUUAGCUGCGGGAGCCAACACCACAGCAGGGACUCGAGUGGGCAUGUACGACAAGCAAUCCCACACCAUACGGUACGGCAUACCCACCGACACACACACACACACAUAUACAGCGCCAACUGUGAAGAGGCGGCAUGUGCGGCGCGAGGGUAGAGCUGGGGGCCCCUCGUCCACUGCCCGGCUGACGGCUGACUCGCCAUUUGCAACGACGAACAGAGGAGGGGGGCCGGCGGACGUACGGAAGCAGGGGGCCCCUCUCGGCUAUAAGUAUGUAGGUAUGUAGGUAUUCAUGUAAGUACUUAUGUAAGGCAGCUUCCUAUUUCCCGGUAACCACCACAACACAACUAACACAACCACCACAACUAACACAACCAGCGGCCCCCGUCUCCAGAAACAUAAGCCCGGGGGAUUCGAACGGCACAUUACUAGGGCCCCCAGCGGCUGACGCGGCGUCGUACGACAUCCAAUGUGUCCAGGAACACCAAAACCUGCAGGGUACGGCGUACGACAUACACUUAAUUGUUGACAGGUUUUACAGCCACGUCCAGGCUAAGCAUCCCCCUAACUCCCCAUCUCCCCCUUUCUGUUCCUUUCUCUAGUUCCUCCGCGAUCGGAAGCCCCCAUUCCAAUUUCCGAUUCAGACGAUUCAUGCAAUCAGACAUACGUGUAGCCCCCACCUGCCACACUGCCGUACCUACUGCCGUACCUACUGCCGUACCUGGGCUAGUACCAUGAUGAAUACGAAAGCACCCAGCACCAGUCCCCCGCGAGAGCAGCCGCCGCCGCCGCCGCCAAACAGACGUUGCAGCAGUCCAUUAUUGGCACCAUCGCCGCCGCCGGCACCGCCCCGCCGGCCGCGCGCUGCGCCCUUCGCCACAGCCCUCCGAGCCACAGCCCUCCCCGCGGCUCCAUCAUCAUCGCCGUCCUCACCGUCGUCCUGCUCUUCCUGCAGUUACGGCAAUGACAACAGGGUUUAAACGACCUUUUGUUUCCGUCGCAAAUGUUUCCGUCGUACUUGUCGUACCUGCUCGACCCAGAAGGUGAGGUUAAGGGUUUUCUCGAACGUACGGAAACGAAAAGACAAAAGCUUCCCGAACGUGAAGCUAGCUUGAAACGAAAGCCGUACAUUCCCGUAUAUCCGUACAUUAACCGUUAACCACCCCGUAAAGCCCCCCCAGGACCGUACGGCCCUUCAUGUCAACAGACGGCGAACAGACCCCCAACACCCCCCCCCACACACACACAGCCCCCCGCAGGUCAGCUCAGGGAACACCACCGGUACGGCGGCCGCCGAGAGUCGACCGCACAGCUAAUCACCAAAAUGACCUCUCUCGGAAAUAUUGCGAGCAGCUGAAAUACACGCACGCACACACACACACACACACACCUCGUCUUCUUCUUCGUCGUCGUCCUCCUCCUCGUCGUCUUCGUCAUCAUCAUCAUCUCCAUCUCCUAGGUCGUCGACAUCCACAACUGACUGUACGUACAUACACGGCACAAUUCGUGGCACCGCAAGUCAUGUACUAAAUGAAGUAAAAAAGCAUGUACGACAAGACAUGUAACCGACAGUGGGUACAUCAGGAUGGCUGUGAGGUGUAGGCCGUACUCUACCGUAUAUUCCUCUGUUCCAUUGCUUACCUGUACAACUAAACGCCGUACUUCAGUUUCCUCAGCGGAAGGUGACGUGACAUCGGACACACACACAUACAUGCAUAUAUACAUACACACACAUACGCAACGCAGGAGCUGUCGCGUGAACAGCCUUUUCCUCUCUCGCACAUACACGAGAACACACACACGAACACACACAGACAUACAAACGCACGCACCUGCUCCGCUAACGACCCGGCGAAGGGCACCAGCAGGUUGAUAAGCUCCCCAAGAAACGCCUCCUGGGCCUGAUGGCGCCCCGGCGUUGGCGGGGGACACGGGGGACACGGAGGGAGAUGUGGGAGCUGUGGAUGGAAAAGUGGACGACGAACCACAGACGAGUGAUGCAGCAGCAGCUGAUGAUGAUGAUGGUGAUGAUGAUGAUACCAGAGGUAUAGGCGGAUACUACUCCGCAGGAUUUUAGAAGUUGCUUACAGAUAUACAUACUGCAUCAGGAAAUUACCAACCAGUGGUGACUUGGGCAGUGGUCAUCGCGGGAGAGGGGGGGAAGGAAGGGGGGAGAGGCAAAACACCUCCCUGUGGGCCUCCCUGGACAUGCAACAUGCGGGGUCUUCGUGUGCGGUGACGAGGGGGGGGGAGUGAAUGCGGUGGGGAGUUCUUCGAGGGGAUGUGUGGCGGUACGACAAGAGGUUGGCGAGAGGCCGAGAAAUCCCCCUAAUGGGGGGGAGGGGAGCCAGUAGUUUAACGGUCCCACGACUUGCCUCGCCAUUAUCAACAACCUUCAUUACUUUCAUUGCGAUUAUCUAUACAGUAUAUACCCUCAAUCAUCGUUGAAUUUCAAAUGUACAAGUACAAACUUUAAAAUCUGGACCAACCGCAGCGGCAGUAGCAGCUGCGGAUUUUCACGAAAUAAUAUUAACUUGUAAAUCAAACAAGACGGGGGUUGUGCACGUGUACAGCACAAGUUCAAAUACCUCCCAACAAAUGAAAAAGUGCCCAUCUGUCGUACAGACACGCUGGUAGUGUACGAACCUGGUUGGCUUCGUGCAAUGCCCGGGCGGAUUGGCCUCCAGGGAGGGCGAAGGCUCGCGCAAGCGCACCUACAUGCCGUACAGGGGUACGGGGAGGGUCAGGAGAUGGCGAGGGAAGGGGAGGAAAGGGGUGGGAAGGAUAACAUGAAGCAAAAAAGAGACAACUGCCAACAACCGCCGACGACCGCCAACAAUCGCCAACAACCGCCGACAACCGCCAACAACCGCCGACAACCAAGCAUUAACUACCGGCGUCCAAAGCCGACAUGAAAGGAUGAUGAUGAUGAGGAGGAGGAGGUUAAUCCCCGGGGAAGGGAAAGUAGGGAAUCCGGUAAGGCUGAGGGGAAACUGAGGGGAAGAGGGGCUUUGGAAAAGGCACGUACAUACACACACGCACACACACGCACACAACUACACGCACACCAAGCAUUCGCAACCGGUAAGCUCACCAGGCGUGUCGUCGAAGAUUGCGAAGAAGGACGGCACCUUGCGGGGGCGGGCGGCUCGGCCGGUAGGAGGCCGCCGGGGGCCCCCCGCCUCCCCCCCUUCGCCCUCGGCCCCCUCCCCCUCCGCCCCCUCCUCCCCCUUCUGGCGCUCUCCGCGCGAGGGAAGUUUGACCGUCAGGUCUCGACCCGGAUGCCAGUCGAUUGUGUCGGACUGCAGUACGGCGGUACGUCACCGUACAUGGUGUUUUGUGCGCGUGGCGAAGCGCGGUGGUGUAUUUGUAUUUGUAAAAUGGGGAUGAAAGGGGGUUGGUUGCGUAGAGUACGACAUACGGCGUGGCACAACGUGACGUGGCGUGUCGCGAUGUUUUUCGUACAAGAUUGUGGCAGGCGGUUGAUGGUCGUUGGGAAUGUUCAUUUACUGCCCCCCGGGAAGUGGCAUAAAAGACUUCCACGCUCAUCCUUGCGUCCCCCCCCCUUCCAUCUCCUCCAUCCCCGUCUCCCCUUCUCCCUACUUUUCCCUAUCCGCCCUCUCAUCCCGGCAACGGCAACGGCAAAGGGCAACGGCAACGGCAAAGGGCAACGGCAACGGCAAAGGGGAACGGCAGUGGCAAAGGGCAACGGCAACGGCAAAGGGCAACGGCAGUGGCAAAGGGCAACAGCAGUGGCAAAGGGCAACGGCAACGGCAAAGGGGAACGGCAACGGCAAAGGGGAACGGCAACGGCAAAGGGGAACGGCAACGGCAAAGGGCAACGGCAGUGGCAAAGGGCAACGGCAACGGCAAAGGGGCAACGGCAACGGCAAAGGGGAACGGCAACGGCAAAGGGCAACGGCAGUGGCAAAGGGCAACGGCAACGGCAAAGGGGAACGGCAACGGCAAAGGGCAACGGCAGUGGCAAAGGGCAACGGCAACGGCAAAGGGCAACGGCAGUGGCAAAGGGCAACAGCAGUGGCAAAGGGCAACGGCAACGGCAAAGGGCAACGGCAACGGCAAAGGGCAACGGCAACGGCAAAGGGCAACGGCAACGGCAAAGGGUAACGGCAACGGCAAAGGGCAACGGCAGUGGCAAAGGGUAACGGCAACGGCAAAGGGCAACGGCAACGGCAAAGGGGAACGGCAGUGGCAAAGGGCAACGGCAACGGCAAAGGGGAACGGCAGUGGCAAAGGGCAACGGCAACGGCAAAGGGCAACGGCAACGGCAAAGGGGAACGGCAGUGGCAAAGGGCAACGGCAACGGCAAAGGGGAACGGCAACGGCUCCCAACCUAACCAAAAAGGAACAAGAACAUACCUUGCUAGACAACACACACAUCCUGUUUAGGCUACCCCCCAGAGCAUGCAUCGUGAAGCUUUUCCGCAGCACAGCGUUGCCAAAAUAGGGGUUGGGCAGAAACUCCAGCUCCCCUACAGUCGGACAUACAUACGGGCUUCAUCAUCACAUCAAGACAUAUAACAGAUUAAAUUCUUAUAUGUGUUGUACUAUGUCCCUAAUUUAUUGUGCAAUCUGUUGUACGAUGUGUUGUACUAUGUUCCUAACCUAGCUUGUGCAGCUCUCAAGGGGGCUCCUGGGCCUCCGCUGGCUCGUGUGUAUGUGUAUGGGGCACUCCUCGUUACACCCGUCUAUCUAUCCGGGCAACGGGUAACGCAACCGAGGUAGGGUUAACACACAUACAUACACACAUACAUACACACAUCCCUCUUAACCAGCUGCGAACGCCCCAAACCCCCAAACCCAACCCCCCGCUCACGGCUAAGCCGCCAGUGAGGGGGGGGGGGGACUCACAGUCCAGUUUGCGGUACGGGUCCUCGGGGGUGGGCAUGCGGCUCGUGUCCCAAACCAGUCGUACAUCCGCAAGGUACGACAGUGCACGUUCGUCCCGGUGCUGGACCAACAAGGAGCCGUACGGUACGGCACGUAGGGCCCGCAGCCAGAAGGCGGGAAUGGACAUUUUCUUUCCCGGGUUGCCUGCGGAUAUGGUUCGUGGAGUGCGUGUGUGUAUCAUCACGUCGUACAAAUUGACAACGAGGAAGAGGAAGAGGCCACCAGAAUUCGAGCGUAAGUACCUUUAGCCUUAUUAGCAUUGGCAGCAGUAGCAGUAGCAGCAGCAGCUGUAGAGAGUAGCAGUAGUCGUAGCAGUGGCAGUAGCAGUGGCAGCACUGAGUAGCAGUAGCAGUACAUGCCGCCGCCGUGCAGACCACAGCCGUGUACCAAAACGAAAACAUGACGCCACAACACACACACACACACACGCCCUCCCCCCCCCACUCACCCGCGGGGCCCACCAGCAAUGUCCUCCUACGGGCGGUCAGCUGCCCCACCUGCCCCAUCUGGGCCACCCACGCCUCCCACUCGCCGCGCUUCAGUUCCGCGGCCAGCUCGUCCAACUGCCGCUGCUGUACCUGGGGGGGGGGGACGGGACGGCGGGAGUAGCAGUUUGAUAGGAGGACGAGCAGUUCGAUAGGAGGACGAGCAGUUCGAUAGGAGGACGAGCAGUUCGAUAGGAGGACGAGCAGUUCGAUAGGAGGACGAGCAGUUCGAUAGGAGGACGAGCAGUUCGAUAGGAGGACGAGCAGUUCGAUAGGAGGACGAGCACGGCAUGAGAGCACAUUACUGUUCAGUGUGGCGUUUGGUACGGGUGGGGAGGACAACGCCCCCAGCGGGCUAGAAGUGUCUCCACAACUUUACGCACAACGAUACGCACAUACAUACGCACACACAAGACACGUGGUAACCGCCACUUACUCACACCAUGCAUACUCACACCAUGCAUACACAUAGCAUACCAUGCAUACACAUUUACUGGCAGGCGGCUGGCAGAGGUUAAGGCCUGACUUCUGCUCCCGGCCGACCCGGGUUCAAAUCCGCCUGCCGGCUCCUCGGGUGUUUGAGGAGUGUUGAAAUGGGAGGUGGCCCCCCAUCAUACGGACGAUGUAGGACGUGAUAAUAUCAACUUGCGAGCUGACCAGGAACUAAGUUGAGGCGCCGUUGAUCCGCUAGAUUUGGUUGGAUGCUGGUGGUGAGUUGCCGAACCCAACGAAUACAUUCUAAAGUCGGAUGGGGUGACGGAUUAGGGUGCCCCUCUAGCAGGGGAGAGCAGGGACUGCCUCGGGAAAGGGGGCCGCUGGCGAAGUUAACCACCCUGUAACAACAUACAUAGCCCUAGCCACCACCCCCUCCACUAACACCCCCUCC
rnacentral:lncRNA from 1 species